GGUUUAGGAAACUUUUUAAGUAGCUUUCUUGUGUCUGUCAUUGACAAAGCAACAGAUAGAGAUGGGCAAGAAAGCUGGUUCUCUAAUAAUCUAAACAGAGGGCAUCUUGAUUAUUUCUACUGGCUACUUGCUGGACUUAGUAUAAUGGGAUUCAUGGCCUUUUGGAUUUUUGCUACAUCUUAUAUUUAUAGAAGUGGAGUUGGAAGAUAGAUCUGUUCUUAUACAAAAAUCUCCACUUAAAGUCUAAGUUACAAAUUGUGAGCAGAAAUUGGGAUUCUUGUAUUUUUAACAAAGGAAUUUUUUUUUUUUUUUUAACUAUAGUGUAAAGGGAACAAACUCUACUCCAUGCCUACCUACAUUUGUUGUCACAAAAUUAAACUUCCUAGAAAUCUAGUAGCCAUUUUUGUUUUUAGUUACAUGGGAAGAUGACUGUAACUUGAGAGUUAAAAUUAAAAUAUACAUUUAUUAUCAUAUUAAAUUAAGAUAUGUAUUUAUCGUUAGAUUAGAUUGGUGAAUGUAAAAUUUAAUAAUUAUUUUUAAAUAUUUUAUACGGUACAAAUAAUUAUCAUAAUUUUUUGAGUUUCUGAAACAAUUAUAAAAUUAUUAAUGUAUUAGAACUAUAUAUUGUAAUAAAAUAUUAAAUUACUAAUAAGAAGUCAGGAGAAACUCUGAAUGCUGCUUGCUUCAACAUUUUACCAAACUUUGAACAAUCUGUUAUGUGUCCUAUUAUAUGUAGGAGAAUAUAAUAAGGUGAACGAACCGUAUUUUGCUCUUCUAAAUCCAUUAAUUCCAUAAGAAUUAGAGCUGUCCAAACUCAAAUCCCAUCUCAUUGGACUCACUCUCAUCCUUAAUUAACACUCAACCUUCAAAUCUCAACUCUUCAAGCCACGUUCAUGUUGUUUGUGUAUGAAUGGGCAAAGGGUGCCAACAUAAGGAAGGGAAAAUGAUAUUUAUGAAGGCCACAAGUAUAUAAAAAUUCUAACAAAAAUAAAGAUAUAAAAUAAAAUUAAAAUAUGAUGUGUUCCUCCUAAUUAUAAGUUGCGUUAGGAUUUAAACCAAACUAAAUUUAGAAAACAGUUAUAAGAUUUUAUGCAUUUUAACUUUAAGUAUGUAUUUUUUUCAGGCUAAAUGUUUAUGCUAUGAACUUGAAUCGAUUAGUCGAUUUAAUAUUUUAAUUUUUGAUUUAAUUUAACAUAUAUUUGAAAUUUUUUUAAUAUUUAAAUACUCGUAACUUUCUAAUGUUUCACUUGUAUUGUAUCUUAAAAAAAAUCUAAAAUCAUGCUUGAUGGCACUUACGUAAUUUUAGUUUUAAAUAUGUGCUUAAUAAUCAUAAUAAAUUAAUAUACAUGCUUUUAUUCAUUUGUAAAAAAUAAUAUUUCAUUAUAAUUAAAUAGUUCUAUUCUAUAAGUGCCACCUCGGAUAAAUUAAGCUACGUUAGCAGAAAUUUACAGUGUUAUAAUAAAACACUAUCUCUAACUAACGGACAUAAUCAAGAAUAUUGAUUUAUCACAAAAAAAAAAAAAAAGAAUGCAUACUUAAAGUUAAAUAUGCUAACUUACAAGCAUAUUUUUUGAUUUUUUUCAAAAUUUAAUCAUAUAAAAUGUUAAAAAUCAGUAUAAAAAAAUAUCAUAUAGUAUUACUGUUUUAAAAGUUAUAGAGAUAAAUAUAAAAAGAAAGUACCAUAUUAUAUCUCAUCAUUAAAAAAUUUCGAUUGCAAGGACUUAAUUAUUAUUAUUUUAAUUAACGUAUUAUUAUCGUAUUGUUUGUGUCACUUUAUAUGAGUUGAGAGUUUAACAACUCAUAAUUUUUUAUUUAACAAUUUAAAAAUUAUUAAAAUUAUUAAUUUGAUGAGAUUGAUUCGAUGAUCAAAAAAUAAUUUUUAAAUUUUUAAACUCUAAAUUCAUAUUAUUAAUUUAUAAAAUAAUAGAAUUAAUAUAAAAAAUUAAUUCACACAUAGUACUUUGUCAACAAAAAGAAAUACAAUCCUUUAAAUUCAAAAAAGCUAAACUGCAUGACAAAUUUUUUGUUUUAAUAUACUUAUUCCUAAUAGUAAUAUUACACCUUUUAAAAACAAGACUACGUGAUCACUUGGCCUGAGCCAAAGAAAAUGACAAUCUCCAAUAAUCUCUCAACCAGCAGCAGUAUUCCUACUCCAUUAAUUCAACAAGACACAGUCGAUGGGUCCGUCGACUACGAAGGCCGUCCUGUUCAUCGAUCAAUCUCCGGCGGUUGGCGAUCAGCAUCUUUCAUUACAGGUACAUACACGAAGUUCUCCAUUAAUCUUCUUGGAAUAUAUAUAUAUAUAUCCAGGAAACAAGAGUUACAGAAAUGAGCUAAAAUAAUAAUCGUUGUUGCUGUAGCUGUGGAGGUGGCGGAGAGGUUUGCAUAUUAUGGGAUAUCCUCCAAUCUUAUAACAUACCUGACAGGUUCACUUGGACAGUCCACGGCAGCCGCAGCUGAGAGUGUGAACACAUGGUCAGGCGUCGCCGCCCUUUUGCCCCUCCUCGGAGGUGUCGUUGCUGAUUUUUUUCUUGGCCGAUAUCUUACUAUCAUUUUGGCCUCACUUGUCUACAUCUUGGUUAGUAUCAUGAUACUCUUGGUUUGAUUAUCAAAAUUGUUAAUUGAUCUGAUUUUGCUAAUAAAGAAAUGGAGGACGAUCUCAACAGAAAAUCCAGGUGAUGUGAUGUGAUUUGAUAUUUUUUGGCCUCACUUGUCUACUAAUGCAAGCUUUUGACAUUGUUCAUCAAAUUAUUUCAAGAGAUAAGACAUUCGUGGAUCACAGGCUAUAUUUUAAUAUUAAAACAAGGAAAACUUAUUUCAUUAAUGUGUUUUCUUUUUGGUUUAUUUUAGUUAAUUUUUAAUGAUCCAUUGCAUUUUGAUAAGAUUUUAUAUUUUUUCUUGUUAUUUUUAAAUCUUUUUAUUAAGAGCGUAUAUAUAAAUAUUUUUAUUAUGAAUGAGUAAAAUAAAAUCAUGCCAACAAGAUACUGAAUCCAUCUAAUUUAGUUUAUUACAUUUUUAUGAAUUUUAAAUUUUUAAAAAAAUCUCUGGAUUUUUUAAUUUUAGUUCAUUGAUCCUUAAAAAUUUAUAUAUUAUUUUGUUGAUAAAUAUAUUCAGCUUCUAAUAAAAGACCCUAAAAAGAGUUUAAAAAAAAAAUAAAAGACCCUAAAAAUUUUAACAAAAAUAAAAUUAUAGAGAUUUAUUAAUGUAAUGUUUAAGUAAAUUCAAUUGAAAAAUAUAGGGACCAAAGAUGAAAUCUUGCCUUAAAACAAAAUGUUAUGCAAGGGAUAACUUAAACUUGACCCACCAAUACUCUAUUUUUCCACAUCUUAUUCGUCUAUUUAUACCAAUCACAUUUUCUAAAACUUUGAAAUUGGAAUUGUCAAAUUUUGUUUUUUUACUAGUAUUUAGUUCAGGUUAUCUCAUGGGAGUCACUAUUGUUCUGGGUCAGUUUAGCAUUAUUAUGUACAUCUUUUUUAUAAAAUUUAGAUGAAAAGAGUAUUCAUGGUAGAAUUCCAGUGGUUAUGUAAAGAUGAUUUGUUUCAACAAAAUUAGGAAACUAAACAAGAAAAUAUUAAUUUAGGAUUUGAAGCAAAUAGAUAGCAGGGAAAUGUUCAUGUUAGCAUUUUAUUGUCAACUGCCAAUGUUAAUAAGCUUCCUGUUCACGUAGUCUGAAAGUGCUUCACAGGGUUUAGGGAUGUUGACUCUAUCAGCUGCACUGACUUCUCUUGAUGCUCAUGACUGCAAAACAACAAAAACUGGAACAUCAUGUUCUCCUCCUUGGUACCACGUAAUCUUGUUCUUCUUCUCUCUAUAUUUAGUUGCUAUUGGACAAGGUGGACAUAAGCCUUGUGUACAAGCUUUUGGAGCUGACCAAUUUGAUGGAAAACACCCAAACGAGAGCAUAGCAAAGAGCUCAUUUUUCAAUUGGUGGUUCUUUAGCUUAUCUGCAGGCAUUAUUGUAACACUUAUGGUGGUAGUAUACAUCCAAGAAAAUCUUAACUGGGUUCUUGGAUUUGGAAUACCCUGCAUUGUGAUGCUUGUUGGACUGCUUGUUCUCUUGCUUGGUAGCAGAACUUAUAGGUAUAAUAUAAAAAGAAAUGAGAAGAACCCUUUUAUUCGGUUCGGUCAAUUAAUUGUUAGAGCUGUCAGGAAUUGGCGAAAUACUUCUUUCCGAAUAGCUGCAGAGGAGGAAGCUUAUCUGGUUGAUCAAAGUUCUGAAAGAUUCAAGUAAGAGACUGUUUUUAGAAUAUUCUUUUGUGAUUCAGAAAGAACUUACUGAUCGAAAUCACUGUCCAUUUACAUUUCUGAUUACAAAUUUCUCUAACGGAGUGAUUUUUCUAUCAUGGAAGGUUUCUGAACAAAUCAUUGCAAGCAUCAGAUGGUUCAGUGGGAGAUCAAGAGGCAUGCUUUGUCAGUGAUGUUGAAGGAAAAAAGGCAUUGCUGAGGCUCAUUCCUAUAUGGACUACAAGCUUGGUGUAUACAAUUGUGUAUGCACAAACCACAACUUUCUUCACAAAGCAAGGAGUUACAAUGGACAGAAAAAUUUUCCAAGGUUUCCAGAUUCCAGCUGCUUCAAUUCAAUCCUUUAUCGGUUUGGCAAUUGUUAUUUUCAUUCCUAUUUAUGACAGAAUUUUGGUCCCUCUGGUUAGGUUGUUAACUAGGAGUCCAUCUGGAAUUACAAUGCUUCAGAGAAUCGGAGCUGGGAUGUCUAUAUCUGCUCUUUCUAUGGUAACUGCAGCUCUAGUUGAGCAAAAAAGACUUGAAAUUGCUAAAGAACAUGGGAUGAUUGACCUGCCAGACGCAGUGAUUCCAAUGAGUAUUUGGUGGUUGGUUCCUCAGUAUGUACUAUGUGGUGUUGCUGAUGUGUUUACCCUUAUUGGCCUUCAAGAAUUCUUUUAUGAUCAGUUUCCAGAUGGUCUGAGAAGUGUGGGCCUCUCAGUCUACCUCAGUGUGAUAGGUGUAGGAAGCUUUCUGAGCAGCUUUCUUGUGUCUGUCAUUGACAGAGCAACAGCUAGAGGUGUCCAAGAGAGUUGGUUUUCCAGUAAUCUUAAUAGGGCACAUCUUGAUUAUUUCUACUGGUUACUUGCUGGACUUAGUGCAGUAGGNNNNNNNNNNNNNNNNNNNNNNNNNNNNNNNNNNNNNNNNNNNNNNNNNNNNNNNNNNNNNNNNNNNNNNNNNNNNNNNNNNNNNNNNNNNNNNNNNNNNNNNNNNNNNNNNNNNNNNNNNNNNNNNNNNNNNNNNNNNNNNNNNNNNNNNNNNNNNNNNNNNNNNNNNNNNNNNNNNNNNNNNNNNNNNNNNNNNNNNNNNNNNNNNNNNNNNNNNNNNNNNNNNNNNNNGACUUAGUGCAGUAGGAUCUUUGCCUCUUGAUUUUGCUAGAUCAUACAUUUAUCAGAAGGCUAACAGAAGUCAGAUGUCUUAUUGAAGAAUCACUCUGAUAUUAUAUAGCAUAUUCUAGGUAAAUGAUUUCAGUUUGUUUGUAAUUUGAACUUGUUUGGGGAACUGUAAGUUCACAGAAAUGAGUGAUCAAAUUCAUAGUCUCCUAAAUCUGAUACCUCUUAUAAAACUAGAAAUAGAAUUACGGUAGAUAGUAGAGAAAAGAAAAGAAAAAAGCAAAUUAUCCAAACAGACACUACCUGAUUAGUAAUUGUAAUUGGAAAAAUAAGUCAUUUAAAGCAAGAUGUGCUUGCGCCUCCACUCCGGUAUGCAUUUCUUCGCUCUUGGGUCAACAUUUCCUUCUGAUAAGAGCCCUUGAUCUUUUGCAAAUCACUUAUUACUGCCUGUAUGUUCAUUCUUUCUUCAGGUUGUUCCCUGGAUCAUGCUACUCCAAUUCUCAGUGCAGAGAUGGUGCAGUCUUUGAAGUUCACUCCUUCAUCUUCUGAUUGAAUGGUUGGAUUCACAAUGUCCAUAAGGCAAAGAUCUCUCGACAAGAGUAUGAAGGCUGAGCCCAUCUUUAAAUGGUUCAUCAGCUGGUUUAUUUCUAGUAAACAUCUCUAGUAACAGAAUCCCAUAGCUAUAUACAUCUCCCUCUGUAGAAGCACUGCCACCCAUGCCAUAUUCUGCAAAUUGAUAAGAGUACUAAUUAUGAGUUAUCUAGCAUAAGAUAUUUUGAGAAAUUAUAAGAUGGAAAGGCAUAUAGAACUUUUCUUUUUUUGUCUCCUUUCCUGCAAAUGCAAAUUUUCAACUAUAUCUGAAGGAGAAAAGUGUACCAGGAGCGACAUAGCCGAUAGUUCCCCUGAUUGCUAUAGAAUUGCUUUGAUACUAUUGAAUCUUACCAGAAGUUGAGGACACAAUCUUGGCCAAGCCAAAAUCUCCAAUAUGGGCAGUCAUCUCCUCAUCCAAAAGAACAGUACCUGGCUUUAGAUCACCAUGUAUUAUGGUUGACGAGCUACCGUUAUGAAGAUAGUCAAUUGCAUAAGCAAUAUCAAUAGCAAUGCUUAGUCUUUGUAUUAGUUUCAGUUUUCCUGAUUCUGUUUGUUGCGUACCCUGUUCUGCAGAAUUCAUCUGCAACUGUCUCUCCAAGCUCCCAUUAGCCAUGAAUUCAUAUAUCAAAGCUUUGACAUUGCCUUCAAAGUCCAUACUAGAGCAGACACUUGCGAAGUAGCAUUUGACAAUGAAAUUGGAAUAGGUCCUGCGAAAUUAUUAAUGCAAGUAAAAGGUAGGUCAACUUGGGAAGAGUGAGACCUAUAUCAGAAGGGAUGCUGCCAUGCAGUUGGUUAAAAUACACGAAAAAAUAAACAAUGCUAGAGAUGUUGAAGAGCCCACGAGGAAUCUGGCCAUCCGGAUUGUUAUCUCCAAAUAACAGAUAUUUAAGUUCUAAAGUCUACAGAUUUCCACUGAAUCUUUCCUUGCAAGGCAUUUACUGUCAGUGAAAUUACUGAAAGAGAAGAUAGAUUUCCAAUGGAAGUAGGAAUGUUUCUCUGAGGUUAUUGUUGGCCAGGCCCAGAGCUCCAAGCUUUAGUAAAGUGCCAAGCUCGGCUGGUAUGUUCCCCACUAGCUUGUUGUUAAUGAGAUUUGGAUAAAUAAUAUUGGAACAACGAGAUAAGUUAGUUGGUAUCUUACCUUGAAAUGAAUUGUUGCUAAGUUCUAUAUACUUUAGGCGGCAAAAAUUACCAAUCUGUUGUGGGAUAUGGCCAUGUAAGCUAUUAUUUUGAAAAUUGAUGCGCCUGAGAAAUGACAGAUUUCCCAUAUGAGGAGAAAGUGAUCCAACCAAGCCUUGUAAGUUCAACUUUAGUGCAACGACCCUGUCAGGAUGUCUGCGACCACAUGAAACCCCAACCCAAUAGCAGAAGUGCAGGGAAUCAUUCCAAGAACUCAGAACUUGAAAAGGGUCUUGUUGUAUGGCGUCUUGAAGGAUAUCGGAACAUGUAGACCAGUCUCAUUUUGCGAGCAAGUGGUUGAGUUGAUUGAACACAAGAACCAGAAUAAGAAAGGAAUGUAAAGAGACCACCUCUUAAUCGCCAUAGCUUCUUUGCAAUCACGAGCCAUGAUUUUUUCACACUAGACAGUUCAAAAACCAGUGUAAUAACUGGAAAGAUAGAAGACUAAAUCAAAUGGAAAUUUGAUGCCAGGAAUCAGUGGUUUACUUCGAAUAUUAAGAGUCUUGUAGAAUCAAUGGACUAGACAUGAAGCUUAGUGAAGGAAUCAGUUCAGUGGAAAAUACAGUUGAAAGUAUUUUGGGUCUUCUUUCAGUAAUUAUAGAUAGCAGACCAAGUCCUGGUACUGGUAUGACUGCUUUAACCUUGGAUUUGCAAUGUGGUCAAGUCUAUCAAGUAUUCAUAGUAGCUACACUCGUGAUUUGCAGUUCCACUCCUGCUAAAGAUUCUCCUCCAUUUACACUUAGAAUAAUGACUACAACAUUGUGACAACCCAAAAAGAAUUAUUAUAAUAAGAAUGUGAUAGAGGAAGUAAACUCUCAAAUCAACCACAAAAAACAAAAAAAAAAAAAAAAAAAAAAAGAAUUCAGAAAGCACAUUUUACAGUACCUAUCAGUGUUGCUCAAUUGGACCACUCAAUGGGCAUUGCAUCCUCUUAUGAGAGCCAUUUGUUGCAUCUGCAAAAGCAUCAGCAAAACAAUGGCUGCCUCAUACAAAGCAUACUGCUUGAAUAGUAUGUUAAUGAGUUAAAAACAUUUAACAUUUAAGUCCAUUUUGUAUUCUUAGCCUUUUACUACUGCAAUAACAAAUAAACAUCAAUUUUAUUUUUUUUUAAUUUUCUUCUAUCUCUCAUUUUGUUUGUAACCCUCUAAAGAAAAAAAAAAGUGUUUCAUUUGAAACUCUUUCUUUAUUUGUUACCAAAUAAAUUAAAAAAAUUAUAUUAAUGAUCCAUUUUUUAUAUCCCUACUGUUUGCUCUUGGAAGUGAGGACUUGAGACCAAGUCUUUUUCUCUAUUUAUAAUAAAAAAAUAUCUAUUUUUAUUGUAUUUAACUUCUCAUGAAUCUAUUAAAUUCAUCAAAUUAGUGGCUUAGUAUAUCCAAAAAUAUAAAAUAAUCACAUAAUAUAAUUAACAAGAUAGAUUUUUCAUUGAAUGCUCUAAGAAAAUCAUCAGAAAAAGGUGACUUUUAUUUUUCACACAACAUAGCAAAGUGAAAUACUUCUAGAUUAAUUCCAACCUCAUGCUGACAAAUCAAUGAGCUUUUAAGUAUAGAAAAACAAAAAUAAAAAAUGUCUACUUUUUUAGCAAUUUAGAUACAUGGGUUUAAUAUUUUAAAUUUAUUUGGUAAAAAUAAAAAGACUUUUAAAUGAGCACAUAAAUUAAUUAUUUUAUUCUUUUAAAGAGUUAUAGAUAUAAAAUGAGAGAUAGAAGAAAAUAAAAAAUAAUAUAUGUGUGAUGGUUUCAAUGCAAUCAUAAUAAGGCUUAAGGUACAAAAUUUGAACCUUCAUCUAUAGAAUUAGGCUAAUUAAAUCUAAGAAGUGGAUCGCACAAUUACAUGUCCAAAAUAAAAAAUUAAUAUUCGUUUUGAAGUGUUUUUAAUAGAAAAAGUUUCAAAUUGGAACACAAGAAAUUUAAUGCAUUUUUAUAGUUGAAAUCUAUUAAUAAAAUUUAUUUCAUUUAAUAAAAAGAUACGAAAGAAAAAAUAAAAUAAAAUGAUAAAAUUAGAAAAGAUAUUUUAGUAUUAUGAAAUAUAUUGACUUAUUAAUAUAGAAUUCAUUUAAAAAUUCUAUCUGUUUUAUUAGAAUUUAGAUGAGUUAUAACCAAUUCCACAUAAAUUUGAUUAUUGUAUAAUUCUAAAUUAACUUUUGUUUCAUUCAAACUACAUAAACUUUAUAUUUACAAAUGAAUUCCAUAAAUUUUAUGGAUUUCAACCAAAUACAAUAUACACACUCAGUGUAGGAUUUCAGGUAUAAUUUAAAAUAUAAAUUAAGCCAAUUCUAAAUUGGUAAAUUCUUUUACAUUAUGUUUGAUUAAAAAUCAUAAAAUUUUUGAAAAUUAUUUGCAAAUUUAAAGUUUCUAUACUUUUUUAAUUGAAAUAAAAAUUAGUUUAGAAUUAUACAUAAUCAAAUUUGUAGGAAAUUAAUUAUAGUUAAACUAAAUUUUAAUAAAAUAAAUAGUAUUUUUAAAUAAAUUCUACAUUAAUAAGUCAAUAUAUUUCAUAAUACUAAAAUAUUUCUUUUAACUUUAUCAUUUCCAUUUUACUUUCUUUUUGUAUUUUUUUUUAAAUGAAAUAAUUUUUUUUAAUAAAUUUUAACUAAAUAUAAUAUUAAAAAAAUAAAUUAAAAAUUUCUUUUAUAAAAAUGUAUAUAUUAAAUAAAAAAAUAAAAAAUAUUUAUUUUUUCUCCACCAACGAUAAUUCCAAAACAACCAUAGUAGCUAUUACAACACCUAGUUAAGCUCUAGAGUUGGCCAUCUUUGUACCUGGAAUCAUCAUUAGUUAUGUUUCUUUUGCAUGUUAAUUAUUAAUUAAACACCUAAUCGAACAGCAAAUUAUGUGAUAUUCUCCACUUUUUUCUUUCAUGAAAAAUAACUAAUAACUUAAUUUUUUAUUUAUUACAUUAGGCAUAUACAAAUAAAAUACAUCUAUCGUUCUCCUCUUUGUUCUGGUGUGAGCCCUCCUCGCCCACAAUUUGGGCAACUCUUUAACCCAAAACCUUGACAGUCGUAGCAUCUGAAAUAAAUUAAAUUACAUUAUAAACAAAAAUUGGUGUCAAAAAUUACAGUGAAAAAACAUUUUAGUGUAAGGUAAAAUCUUACUUCCAACGCUCGAAUAUGUUCCCAUUCUUUUUAUUUUUUCCUGAGCCCUGAAUUUUUUAAAUGAAGAAAAAAAAGAAAGAAAGAUGAUAGAGGGAAUUAAGGGGAUCAAAUAUAUAUAUAUAUUGGGUUAGAUGAUAGGUACCUUGCAGCCUGGACAUUCUAUUGCACCUUUACCUCCACAAGUUUUACACCCUUUAAGAAUCUGCCAACCCAUGUCAAAAUAAAUAUUGUAAAAAUGGCUAUUCAUAAUGUUUUUUGGGAAAUUCAUAUUUAAACAAAAAUGUAAAGGAAAAAAAAAAAAAAGGAAACGCGCCAGGUAGGGGUCGAACCUACGACUUUCUGCUUAGGAAACAGACGCUCUAUCCACUGAGCUACAGGCGCUUCAGUUGACAGAUGCGUCUGUUAAUUUUUCUAAAUAAUCGGGCAUAAACAAUCAAAAUAUCCCCCCCCUUUACACUCUAAAUGCUACUUGAACUACUCAAAAUUACAAAAAAAAAAAAAAAAAAGAAAAGAAAAGAAAAGGAAGUAUAUAAUAUACCUAUAUAAGUACCACUGUUUUCUUUUUCUCUUAUAAGAUCAUUGAUCGCAAACGCUCGCAUUUGACAGGUAUAACUUGAUGGUAUAUAUAUAUAUAGUUCAAUUUGAGGUAUCUUCGUUAUUAAUGGGGGAAUUUAAAAUAAAAUAAAGAGGGACAGCGUACCGAGUUAAAGGAAAAUCCACCAGAUUUUGCAGCAAAUACCCUAACAGUUCUUGGCUUAGUUUCAGUGCAGUUUUUAUGUGUGGGUGGGUUGAAUUGAGGAUGGAAUGAUGCUACAGCCGCCGGAGCUGCUGCCAUCAGGUUAUUGCUCCCACCACAUAACUUGCCCAUCUUUGCUCUGCCAAUUCACCUUUAGUUUAUGUCUUCAAUCCUUCCCCUUCCCCUUGAUGCUUUUGAAUUUCUGAAGCCACCACAGGCAAUGGAAUUGCUUCUUCUUCUUCUUCUUCUUUUUAGAAUAAAAAGAUGAGGCUGAGACUUUAGAAUAGUGGAUAUAUUAAGAUUUUGAUGGGCCACCACUUUCUAAUGUCAUUUUUCCAUCCACAAAAAUAAUUUAUUGAAAUUUUUUNNNNNNNNNNNNNNNNNNNNNNNNNNNNNNNNNNNNNNNNNNNNNNNNNNNNNNNNNNNNNNNNNNNNNNNNNNNNNNNNNNNNNNNNNNNNNNNNNNNNNNNNNNNNNNNNNNNNNNNNNNNNNNNNNNNNNNNNNNNNNNNNNNNNNNNNNNNNNNNNNNNNNNNNNNNNNNNNNNNNNNNNNNNNNNNNNNNNNNNNNNNNNNNNNNNNNNNNNNNNNNNNNNNNNNNNNNNNNNNNNNNNNNNNNNNNNNNNNNNNNNNNNNNNNNNNNNNNNNNNNNNNNNNNNNNNNNNNNNNNNNNNNNNNNNNNNNNNNNNNNNNNNNNNNNNNNNNNNNNNNNNNNNNNNNNNNNNNNNNNNNNNNNNNNNNNNNNNNNNNNNNNNNNNNNNNNNNNNNNNNNNNNNNNNNNNNNNNNNNNNNNNNNNNNNNNNNNNNNNNNNNNNNNNNNNNNNNNNNNNNNNNNNNNNNNNNNNNNNNNNNNNNNNNNNNNNNNNNNNNNNNNNNNNNNNNNNNNNNNNNNNNNNNNNNNNNNNNNNNNNNNNNNNNNNNNNNNNNNNNNNNNNNNNNNNNNNNNNNNNNNNNNNNNNNNNNNNNNNNNNNNNNNNNNNNNNNNNNNNNNNNNNNNNNNNNNNNNNNNNNNNNNNNNNNNNNNNNNNNNNNNNNNNNNNNNNNNNNNNNNNNNNNNNNNNNNNNNNNNNNNNNNNNNNNNNNNNNNNNNNNNNNNNNNNNNNNNNNNNNNNNNNNNNNNNNNNNNNNNNNNNNNNNNNNNNNNNNNNNNNNNNNNNNNNNNNNNNNNNNNNNNNNNNNNNNNNNNNNNNNNNNNNNNNNNNNNNNNNNNNNNNNNNNNNNNNNNNNNNNNNNNNNNNNNNNNNNNNNNNNNNNNNNNNNNNNNNNNNNNNNNNNNNNNNNNNNNNNNNNNNNNNNNNNNNNNNNNNNNNNNNNNNNNNNNNNNNNNNNNNNNNNNNNNNNNNNNNNNNNNNNNNNNNNNNNNNNNNNNNNNNNNNNNNNNNNNNNNNNNNNNNNNNNNNNNNNNNNNNNNNNNNNNNNNNNNNNNNNNNNNNNNNNNNNNNNNNNNNNNNNNNNNNNNNNNNNNNNNNNNNNNNNNNNNNNNNNNNNNNNNNNNNNNNNNNNNNNNNNNNNNNNNNNNNNNNNNNNNNNNNNNNNNNNNNNNNNNNNNNNNNNNNNNNNNNUGUGGCUUAAUUAAAGUAUCUAGUUUUAUUUUGUUAUGCCUGUAGGUUGUUGAUUAAUUUAAAACAAGAGAUUGUGAAGUACUGAAUAGAGUGGCGUGUUAACAAAAAUGUUUGGGAAUAUUGAAAAGAAAUGAAACUGAAUAAUAGAUUGUGAAUUCAGUUACAUAGUUUAGUUAUGUUUAAUUUAAGAUAAAAUAGGGAUGGUAAUGAUGAUGGUGGUAUAUGAAUGCUGAUGAUGGUGUUGGUAGUGGUAGUGGUAGUGUUGGGACGAGAACGGUUAUGGUAGUAGUGAUGCUGGUAAUGGAGGGUGAUGUCAAUGGUAGGGGUGAUUGAAGCUGGACAGGAUUGCUGCAGCCUUGGUGGUGGUGGUGGUGUUGAUUGUUGAUGAUGGCUUCAGUAGUAGCGAUAGUGGUGCCGUGGUGGCAAGGGGGAUAAUUGACGACCAUACUAAUAGCAGUAGUUUUUUCAGGAAGAGUAAACUAUAUAGUUCAUAGUCUAAAACGUUAUUUACUUUUUACAUGAUUUGUUUCUUCAUGUUAUGUGCUAAAAGGAAAAUGAUAUCAAACAUUUUAAUCGUUGUCAGCCAACAUAAUAUAGAGCUUUUAAUUAAAAUGCCUUUUUGCAUUUGCGUUAGAAUGAUUUUAGCUAAUUUGAGGUAAUUUUUAUUUUCUUGUCAUAACAAUUUAAGGUUUCAUUGGUUGAACAGAGAUUUUAUCUGAUUGGUAGUGAUCGGAAUAAGAGGUUCUUUCGGGUAUUGAAGAUUGAUCGUUCAGAGCCAUAUGAUCUCAAUAUUAGUGAAGAUCCAGUGGUUUAUUCGCCACAAGAAAUCAAGAGCUUGCUUCAGCGCAUUGCUGAAGGCAAUCGUGCCACAGGUGGACUAAACUUUGUGGCAAAGGUUUAUGGCAUUGCUGGUUAGUAUUAUUCUUUUUGGCAUUUAUUAUUAUUAGAUGGUUCUUUAUGAUGGCAUGCCUGUUCUUUGUGGUCUUUUUCAGGUUCCAUCAAGUUUCUAGAGUCAUAUUAUUUGAUUCUAGUUACAAAGCGUCGUCAAAUAGGAUGUAUAUGUGGUCAUGCAGUAUAUAGUAUAGAUGAAAGCCAACUAAUAACAAUCCCACAUGCAUCAAUUCAAACUGAUGUGGCACAUUCUAAAACUGAGUUAAGGUACUACUUUCCUCUAUUGGCCUAAAUUUGCUUACUGUUUGUUUCUUUCUCUCAAUCCUGCGUGCAUUCAUGUGCAAGGGAGAGAGGUUUCUUUGCGUGAUGGAAAAUUUAGUUAGAUGAUAAAUAAUUAUGUCAAGGUGCAAAAAAGAUUUUGGUAGGAUUACCUAAGCCAUUAUUAAUAUCAUAGUAUAGAUUAUGCUCCUUAGCCCCCAGCUUCCUUCUUAGAUUGUGCAUGUUGUAUGAUGGAGUCCGCUAUGAUAUGACCCCUUAAUUGCAGCUACCUUUGUUCUAGUUUACCAAAAAAUUCUACCUUUUCCAUGGAAAUAAACCUUAUUUUAAAAUCACUCUUUGAAAAUGCUAGGAGGAAAAAUAAUGCUAUAAGAGGUAGGGCAUGAAUUAAAGAGGACGAGCAAAGGACAAGCUGAUGCUAAAACCAGUAGUGGCUUGUUAUUGGUUGCAUAUUACUUGUUCGCAUUGUUUUAAGGAAAUUUUCUAGAGGGUGGUAUUGUAGGUGGCAUUUUUAAAAUCCAUUAGAUAACAAUGGAGGAUUAUUAAUAAGUAUGAGCAUAUGAAAUUUAUUUUGGGCCUAACCAUUAGUACAACUUAGUCAAGUUAAUGGGCUUGCCUUUUACCUUAUAAACUCUUUUAAAUAUUUAUAUUACCUAAUAUGGAACAAUGUUACGCAUCCUUCAACACUCCCCCUUAAUUACUAUUUACACUUGACAAUAAUAUAUGGACUCGGCUUGCAUGAAGGUCAAUAUAAGCCCUUAGUCCUUGACUAACACAAUAUUUAAUUAGGCCCGAAGGUUAAGCCCAUUUGCAGUCUCUGAGACCAUGAUAAAAUCCAUGUGCCAGGAUAACAAAGGAGGAGCAUGAACGGGCUUAAACAAAUCAAAUUAAUUUGAGCCUAACCAUUAGCACAACUUAAGUCAAGUUAACGGAUUUUCCCUUUACAUCAUAAACUCUCAUAUAUUUUUAUAUCUACUCAAUGUGGGACAAUGUCACACAUCUUUGAACAACCACUAUCAUAAGUUUAUCUAAGUUUUUGGUUCUUAAGGUUAUUCUUUGUGUAGAGAUGCUUUAUGACAUCAAUUAAAAGACCCAUCUCUAGCUUACAAUUUCAAUAUUUUCCCUCGUCUUUUUCCACUUGAAUCAUCGAUAAAAACUCAUUAUGACUCUUUUUCCUUUUUCGUAUAGGAUGGAAAUAUUUGUAGCAUGUAAUUGCUUCCUCAUAUGCAUCAAAAUUCAAAAUUAAGUCUAACAUUGGGAAAUGUUUUCUUUUUUUUCCUUUUGUGGUCUUAAUAGCAUCUUGAUUUUCUUUUUUUUUUUUUUUUUUAAUUUUUUCAUCGAACUCGAAAGUAUUGGAGUUGGGAUGAAGGGAAAAAGAACAUACUUUUAAAACCAUCUACCAUUAUUGUCAAGGACAUUGUUUGCAUCUUCAUUCAUAAUGUAUAUGAUACUCUUUGCUUCUGUGUCUACCAAAGAAGUCAAUUCCAAUCUACACCUAUUAAUAGCAUCUUGUUGACUGUUGAUACUCUUUCUGUUUAAGUCCUUGGAACUACCCAAUAAAAAAAAUCCUAGAUGCAAGAAUAUCACUUAUGUUGGUUGGCUUCACUAAAGGAAUAUCAAGAACUUGUAUGCUGGCCGUCCAAGCUCUUGCAUGACAGUCCUAUUUGGGUUUUGACCUAAUUCCUUGCUCAUAUUCUUGCUGAUCAAGGAUCAUUCACACCCACAUCAUCAUGUUCUAGCAUUGACCUUAGAGCUUCUGUCACUAGUGUGGGAAAUUGCUUAGCUAGCUUGAUAAGAACAUCUUUAUCCUGAUUCGUUUUUCAAUCGAGAUCCAUUUAGUAUCUCUAUUCCAAGGAGAUUUUCUUUAGGAUAUUGAUGUAGAACCUAUGUUCUCACACCAAAAACAAUUUUUUUCUCAAUCCAAAACUAAAUAUGCAUUAGAGGCUACAACCUUUAUAUAGGGAAUUAAAACAUAAAAUUUCUUAAACCUAUACUAUUUAGGAAUCUAACAUAAUACUAAAUCAAAUAAUGUAUAAUGUAUAAUUUGUUUAGUAUAUUUAGUAUAAUUAGUAAUGUAUAAUGUGUAAUUGUAUUCAGUAUAUUUAGUAUAAUGUUCAAUUCCUCACCACAAAAUAGCCUGGUGGCCAGGAGCCUUGUAGCUCCAAGCUGGGUCUCGAGUUUGAGACCCACCUUCCCCCCUCCCCAAAAUUUAUAAUUGUUAGAAAAAUGGAAAAUUUAAAUGAAGACUAAAAUGAAACCUACACUAAUUAGAGCCCAAACAUGAUACUAAAUAAAAUAGAAAAACUAAACAAAGACUAAAGGAUGAAAUAUUCCAAACUAUAAUAAAAAUUCCUAAAUAAUGUUAAACUUGAAACUUCCUAAAUAAGGACUAAAAGAAAUUCUGAAUUUCAAAAUUAAAAAUUAAAUCCCUAAAUCUAGCUUUCCUUGACUGCAUCAGACAUAUUGCCCAUUGCAACUUAACCUUGAGGGAUAUUGAAGCUUUUUGAUGUCAAAUUGCUUGACUGAUCCAUUAAUGGGUUGCAUGAGUUUGGGGUGGUGUGAAUUUCCAAUGUUGAAUAUAUUUGUUUUUCCUUUUGUCUUUUUCUCUUUUCUUCAUUGAAGAACUCUAUGCGUGAGUUUGUUUUCAUGAUGUUCUUGUGUGAUGCAUGUCUUUCCCAGCAUGAGUUAGACUCAUAUUCUUUUAUUUUCUUUUCAAUUGUCUUAACUGCAGGUACAAAAAGCUAUUAUCCAGUGUGGAUUUGACAAAAGACUUUUUCUUUAGUUAUACGUAUCCUAUAAUGCAAAGCUUGCAAAAGAAUUUGUCAUCAACAGAUAAAGAUAGGAUGCCAUAUGAUAACAUGUUUGUGUGGAAUGAGUUUCUGACAAAAUCUAUUCGUUCAAGAUGUGGCAAUACCAUUUGGACAAUAGCAUUAGUCCAUGGGCAUUUUAAGCAGGUAUUCAUAUGGUUUAUCCAUCAUUCUAUUAUUUAAUGAGUCUGUAAAUAAUCAUGUAACAAAGUAUUCGACACAUGAUAUGUUAUGAUGAAAAUUCAUUCCUAAAUCUAGUUGAGCAUCAUACACUUCUUUUUAUUGAGUCAAAUAGAAUGUUGCAUUUGUCUGAAGUCAUGCUAUAUGCUUAUGAGCUGAUAUUCAAGUUUUGAAAAUACUAUGGCAUGUAUAAUAAGGAUUUUUAUGCAUUUAUAGAUGCUUGGAAUGUGUUAAAUAAAUUGAAAUGCGAUUUAUUAGAUUUUACUAGUUCUGAAAGGAAUAUUAGCAUGGUAAAGUUUUAUCUUGUAUUGAUAACGAGUGAUUUGGUGAUUGGUUAUAAAAUUUGUAUAAUUCUAGGGAUUUUGUAUUAUGAGAUGGGAAUUCUUUUUGGUUCCAAGCACUGUGUAAUCCAUCAAAAUUAACUCAUUAGACAUGAUUGCAUGAUAUUAUUUUUACUCAUUUCAGUCGAGAAAAUUGUGUAUUUACCAUGCUGCUCACUGAUUCUAUUAUGGUUAACCAUGCAGAAUAGGUUAUCAAUCUAUGGGAGGGACUUUAGUGUUUCUCUGGUUUCUAGACGCUCUCGACAUUUUGCAGGGACCCGGUACGUCUGGUUUCAAUUUUAGGGUUUUUGGUUUUUCUCCAAUACAAGGAUACAGUUCUGCUGCAUCUCCUUUUUUUUUUUUUUUUUAAUUACUGACUGAAAUGGGUUCAUGUUAUUAGUUAUGAAACUGAUGCUUCUAGAGUUUCAGAUAAUUAGAUUUUUCCAUCUCCUGAAAAACUCUUUUUCUUACAGCAUUUCCACAUGCAUCAACAGUGGUGCUACUUUAGUUUGACGUUAUCUUUGGGGUAUUAUACUAGAAUUAUAAAGUGGUUUUGAGAGGAGUAUCUAAUCUGCUUGGAAGGGGUCAGGCUAGUUUGCGGCCUUAUACUUUUUCGCCUGUAUCAAAGUGGAUGAUGAACUUCCGAAAUUUUUAUUCCGCUGUCUUUAGUUUGAGUAGAAUUCCUUGGUAACUAAACAUGUAAGGUUUAGGAUGAGAGAGAAAGAGGGGCUGGAGGGAGGUGUUAAAUGGUUCAUAAGUUUGCCAAUGGGCUAUAGUAAUUACUUUUAGUACGAGUCUUCAAAUUUAACUAGAUGUUGGUUAUGAUGGGUUUAGGCAAUUAGACAUGAUGCUAGAGAUUAUAGAGUGAAGGAAAUAAAGUGCAUUUUGAACAUUAUACAUCAAUAUGCUCUAGAAUUUGCCUAAUUUGGUGAUGCAAAUAAGAUUUUGGAUUUAGGUUUCUGGUGGCAAGCAGGAAAGUUGUGGUUAUUGUAAGAUGAGGAAGCAUCUUAAUUAUUUGAGGUUGAGGAUGGGGAGUGUGAAGCUGUUGUGAUUCUUGUGGUGAUACGGGGAGGGCUUGAAAUAUUCAAUGUUAACGGAAUGGGGGUUGUAUGGAGAUAGUAGUUGAGUUUUGUUAGUACAAAUCCAUGCAGUCCACUUGCACGCAGAUUUAAAUAAAAUUGCAGAAAGAGAAACAACAAACGUUACGUGGCUCGGCAAUGUACCUAUUUCCAUGGAGAGUCACUUGCAAUAUUCAUUAAGUAGAAGAGUUACAAGUUUCUAUAUUAGUUCAGUGAUUGCUGAUAAAACUAACCUUCAUUUUAAUUUUUGAUUGCUGCUGCUAUCUGGAAAGGAAAUUUAAGAAUUUAUAGAACAGGAAAAUGUUUGAUCUUCACAUUUGCAACUAUGGAAAUAGUUGGCAUUUAUUUUGAGGUAGGAACUACUAUAAUGAUAUUUGUUAAUGGGCACAGUUACUUGAAGAGGGGAGUCAACGAUUGGGGAAAGGUUGCAAAUGAGGUGGAAACAGAGCAAAUUGUUCUUGAUGAAGAAGCUGGAUCAUGCAAGGGGAGAAUGAGUUCUGUUGUGCAGAUGCGUGGAUCAAUUCCCCUUUUCUGGUCACAGGAAGCUUCGAGAUUCAGUCCUAAACCUGAUAUAAUCUGUAAGGACAUUGAUUUGAUAUAUUUUGUCCAUAAGUCAUUCAAUAUUAUACUGAUAUGUGCUACAUUAUGUCUAGCUCCAUAAAAAUUAUGUACUCUAACUCGUAUUUCUUGUUCUACAUCAGUGCAAAGGUACGAUCCUACCUACCAGGCAACCAAAUUGCAUUUUGAGGACCUGGCAAAGAGAUAUGGCAACCCAAUAAUUGUGCUGAACUUAAUUAAGGUUCUUUCAAAUUUCAUUCUUGAUAGCGAUCUGUCUAUAUCAAGCUUAAUUAGUUAUUGAGUUAGCCAUGCAUUCUCUUUUACAGUGUUAUUGAGGAAUUCUGGUGUUUGACUUUAUUGAACAAGGCCUUUCAUGUAUUGCGAUUUCAAUUGUUUGUUACAGCAUCCAAGCUAGCAUGGAAAUUUGUUGCUAAUUGCUAAUUGCCAAUUGUUUUUUGAUAGUCUUGCUAUUUAUUCCUUGCAGAACUUUUGAGCAAUGCAAAUGCAUUUACUAUGAUUAUUAAGUGGCUUUGGUUGGAAUUUCCCUUGAAUUUUCAUGAGACAUUGUACAUUAAUGAGUAAUGAGUGCUGAGCCUCUUGUUGAUUUUUGUAUUUCAUUUCAAAUGGCAAACCAAAAGAAAAUGAUGAGUGAUUGUCUUACACAUUUGGUUAGCUUAGUGAAGUGACCAUGAUAAACAUAUUGUUAUUUUUGGCUUUGGUUAAAUUGGAGUAAAAUGGUGAUAAGAUUUUUUUGUAAUUCUUUAUCACAUGCCCUUUCCAUUAUUUUUCUAAGAGGAAAUUAUUUGUUUUGUGGAACAUAUUUUCCUGGUUGAUAUUACCCAUAAAUAAAUAAUAUAUGGGGAUAGGCACUGUGCAUUGAUUUUGUGAUCAUGACAGCCAUGAUAACUUCCCAUUUUUUCUUAUAAUUUUCUCUUUUAUUGUGGUAGAUUAAAACCAAGUGUACCAGCAUGAAGUCUUCAUAUGUCCAAAUGUUCUCAUCUCUUUAUUGAAGGAAUACUCUUUCUUUUUCCAAUCUGCUCAAACAUCCAAAAGCCAGAAAAAAUUCUAUUGAUUUAAAUCUUACAACUAAACCAUGGAAAAUAAUCGUUUUCCAGGGGCUUUAUUUGAAAAUUGUUUUCUACUAGUCAGUUUCCCUCAAGUAAAUGGGGUUUAUGACAUGUUUGUAGCCCUAUUUCUCUAAAUGUAUGUUUACAUGCAUAUGUGGCAGUGUCAAGAACCAUUCCUUGAUAUACUUUUGUUUUUGGAUGGUAACUAUGAAUCAUAUUCAGCUUUUACACAGGCAUAGAUUUAUUUACGCAUUUGAUUUUCUCCAUUAUCAUCCAACCCCUAUUUACUGCAUCUAAUCCACAUUUAUCAACCUAUUUACUUGGGCUAUGCCUAUGUUCAGAUGUUUUUAGUUAUCCUGGGGUUCAUUUAUAUUCUAACACGCAGACUGUUGAAAAAAGACCUAGAGAAAUGAUGCUAAGGCGUGAGUUUGCAAAUGCCGUUGGGUAUCUGAACACAAUUCUUUCAGAAGAAAACCAUCUAAAAUUUAUCCACUGGGACUUUCACAAGUUUGCAAAGAGGUAAAGGAUGCAUUUCUUCUAAUGAAUUGAAUAAAGUCUUCAUUUUGUUCUUGUUUCUUACUUAAUUGUUUGAGCUCACUGUUUUCUUUCUCCUUGCUGUUGCAAAAGCAAGUCUGCCAAUGUCUUGGCUGUUUUAGGUGCUGUGGCAAGUGAGGCACUUGACUUGACUGGCUUUUACUAUAGUGGUAAACCUAGUGUUGUGAAGAGGAGAACCAAGACCAACCAAAUUAGCAGAACAAGCACCGGAAGGUACUGCAGUUCUCAUAUUGAACUUUUCUUAUGUGUGCACAUUUACACAUUUGCAGUGAUAUUAUGAUUGAAUCUUUACAUAACUUUGGUUCAUGCUUUAAUGCUUUUCCUCUUAAAGGUUAGAAAAGUGCUUUUCCAACUUCAUUUUUUAUUUUACUGGUUUUUUGAGUUCUGAAAAUUACUUUUGCUAAAAGCAGGUGAAUGAAUGCUUUUCCUAAAAGCAGGUACGAGAAAAACAGUUUAUAAAUCAAAAUAUUUUCAAACCUGCUUUUUGAACAACAAACAGCAAUCCCAAACACACCCUAAGUAGUAUUUUAUUAUGGUGGUUUGCUCAUCUAUUGUUUUACUUGGUUCUUUAGGAAAUUUAUCAAACCUGGAACUAAUGGAGUAGUAGUAGAUUAUCUUGCAAAAAGUGUAGGACUGGAACUUUUUUAAUUUCUUAUUUCUUUUUGCUAAAAACAGUUCUCCUGACUGUUAGUAUUCCAUACUUUACAAUAUGUCUAUAACCUUAUAAUAGGUUCCACAAAAAAUAUAUCUAUUCCAUCAACAAUGUAUGACUUAAGAUGAAAAAUCUGGGUUGAUCUUAAAAGGUCCGAAGACUGUUGAAGUAUGGUGUUUCUUUUCUUUUUUUUUUAAUUCUUUUAGAAAAAAGACAAUCGUUGAAUGUGACAUAGGUAUGGCCAUAUAAAACAACAAAGAAAAAGAAAUGCUAUAGAUAAACUGGUACUAUGAUUAUAAGAUGCAAUAACUUUUCAUUAAGAUGAAGAAAACAGGGACAUGAUGCAUUAAUGUAAUAUGUUGUUCAAGACUGUUGUAUCAAUAACUAGGCUGUUAAAUCUGUUGCCCAUUGACUCAAUUCCCUCUUUUCUUUAUGCUAGGUAACAAAUUAGUUAGUGUGCUUUGUAGUGGUCUUAACAUUGCAUUUCAUAUUUCAUAGUUUGUCAUGAGUUGCUACUUUGUUGCAUUCAAAUAAUUAAAGAUCAAAGCUAUGAAACACAUUCACAUGAAUGGGCAUUUUCUAAAGGUGAGACAUGGAUACGGCAGGGCCGCAACAAUUUCUUUCAAGUGUAUAUAUAUAUAUAUAUACAUCAACUGUUAUAAUGCCAAUUUAUAUAAGUAAGGUUCAUUAUUCAUUCAUAAAAAAUAAACUAUAAGUCUAAAACAUCUUCAAGCUUUUCAUCUCCACCCAUCUAAAAACAAUAGUGACUCAAAUUUUGGUUCAUCGAGUGAUGGAUUGGCAAUCUUAAGAAUCCCUGGCUAGGUUUUCUUAAAAAAUUUAUGUUUUCUGGCUUUGUACUUUGACCCAAUAAUUUUUAGGUUUUUUUAAAAAAGACCCCUUUUUUUUAAAAUUGUCCCAAAGUUUUGCAAACUCUUAAAUUUCCGUGUCCCUUGUGUGUCCCAGGUGUCCUAGGUGCGCCUUGGGCGUGUUUCAAGCAUUUCCCCCACUUGUGAAUAGGAAAAAAACAAGGACAUGGUUUUAGGCAUUCCCAUACAUUUUCCGGUGUGUUCCCAGAAUGUUGGACAUGCAUAUGUCAACCCCCGGGAAGUGUCAGUGCUUCAUAGGAUCGAACAGAUGUAUGUGUUUAAUAUCCAAUUAUAUUCAGUUUUUCAAUAGUGAUAUUUCCCUUCAAGUAUUGCUAGAUGUGAGUAUUAGUUAGCUUGUUGUGUGGGCAGUUAUUGUGUUAGUGGGUAGUUACUAGUUAGUUUCCUAGUUAAGUUGUAUUUAGUUGAUUCUGUCUAAUCUAGAAGGCAAGGAGAACUCCAGAUAAGGUUUGAGUUCCUAAAACUCAAGAGAUCAAAGGGUUUUUCCUAACAAGCUCUUAUAGAGAUAUCAAAAUGAGCCCUUGUUGUCCUUUAAUUUCUAGUUGAAUAACCCCAUAACUGGUUCUCAGACCUGGGGAAACAAUUCUUACCAACUGAAUUACACUAAUUUGGUUUGAUUUUGUUUCCCUUUCUAUGAAAUUUGGUUAUUUUGGUUUUGACAAUUUUUGAACUGAAGGCUCAUCCCUAAUUGGCAUGCCAACCUCUUGCAUAUAUUUUGUAAAGAAAGUUUCCAACCAUAAGCACCGGGUUUACCUUUUUUACUAUAUGCUGUAUGGUGAGUUCCAGACUUGUUGGAAAAGGGAGCGAAAAUUUCUGAAUAGAUGUGUGAAUAGUUAGCACAUAGUAGUAUUUUUCCAGUCUGUAUAACUUUUUUGAUUCUCAAUCAUAUCCAAUAUGAGAAUCCAGUUUUUGUUGUGUUCAAGUGUAAUUUGAACUCUUCUUUAUUUUGUUUUUGAGGUUGAAGUGAACAUUGCAAUGGAUGAGCAAUUUUACUUUUUAAGUGGAAAGGUGAAGUGGUCAUUCCAGUGAGAUAAGUAAUUGUACUUCUAAGUUGACUGGUAACAAUGAUAAGCACAGAUUUAGUUAAGGGUAAUUGAAGGUUAAGAAUUCCACAACAGCACAAUUUUAUAAGAUUUGUUGGCAACUUUACUAUUUUGAUGUCUUUUCUCUUUGUAAUGAACAUGCACUGGGUGCACUGAAUUGAAAUAAUGUCUGUUACAAGUGGAAGUGUGUCGCAUGAUUGUAUCUCAUAUUUGUGUUAGAAAGCCUGCUAUUAAUUAAUGAACAUGAUAACGAUUAAUUGACUGCAAUUUAGUAUGGGGAAGUUUUGUGAAGACUUGUGCCUCUUCUUCUACUUAGAUGUUGCAGUUUUUCUUGUGUACUUGUAGAAAGCUUGAAGGUUGGCCAUUCCUUUCAAAGGAUGCAUUUUACCUUCUUUUCCCACCCUUCAAGUUCAAAAUAAAUGUUUGAGGCAGAAACUGCUUCUAGAACAAAACUAUAUAAUGUUAUUUUCUAAAGGCUGAUUCACUAUUGAUUUCAUCUCCCAUCUUUUUUUGCAUUUUUUAUAGGGAUGCUUCCCUUAGAGAUCUGAGAGCCAGCUCUGGUGAUCUUGCUAGGAUUGGAAGUGGGAGUGAAAAUCUAAAUUCUAUAAUUACUCGAGAAAGAGAGAAUGAUUGUAAUCAACAGAUUAAACUAGAUAAGGUUGGUGGUGAAGCACCACUUUUUCAAAGUGGAGUUCUACGCACCAACUGCAUUGACUGCUUAGAUCGUACAAAUGUUGCUCAGUAUGCUUAUGGCUUAGCAGCUCUAGGGCGCCAACUCCAUGCAAUGGGUCUGACAGACAUUCCAAAAGUGGAUCCUGACAGUACCAUUGCCGCAGCUCUUAUGGAUAUGUAUCAGAGUAUGGGGGAUGCUCUUGCCCAACAAUAUGGUGGCUCUGCUGCACAUAACACUGUAUGCUUCUCCUCAUGGAACUUUAUAUUUUACUUAAUCAUUGGUUUUGUACAUAGCUUUGGUUUUAACUUCAUCAUGGAAAUGCUUAAUAUGGCGUUUCAGGUAUUCCCAGAAAGGCAGGGAAAGUGGAAAGCUACAACUCAAUCUAGAGAAUUUAUUAAGUCAAUCAAGCGCUACUACAGUAAUGCCUAUACAGAUGGUGAAAAGCAAGAUGCAAUAAAUUUGUAAGGGUUUUUCCUUCAUCAUGAUUUACUUUUUACUUGGUUUAAUGGGCUGCUCUUUAAUCAUCUUGAAAUUUACACUGCCAUUGUUUUAGCUUAUUUAAGGCCUAACAUACUUCCAAUUCCCAAAUAUUGAUGCCAUAUAUAUGCAAUUCCUUUUCUUGGGAAUCUUUGCAAAUGUACAUGUUCUCAAACUAUCCCUUUUCUUUUCUCCUUUUUUUCUCGGUUUUACCAGAUUUUUGGGUUACUUUCGACCGCAGGAAGGUAAACCUGCUCUUUGGGAGUUGGAUACAGAUUACUAUCUCCAUGUUGCUGGGACUAAAGAAGACCUUGAUCCUGAGAUGUGGUGAAAUCUUAACUUCUGCUUUCUGUUGCUGGCUUGCGUCUAAUUUUGUUAUACAUAUGGUCAGAAGUUUCUAUAUCUUCUAAUUUUUAAUUUUGCUGUGUUUUUCUAGCACUCUGGAAACUCAUGCUACACCUGAUGGAGUUGGAAUGAAUCUCACUCCUAUUCCAGCUUGCAGGGAAGACUUUUCACGCAUGAAGUUGACAUCUCUGGACAAAUUGAUUGAGAAGACAUGUGGGACGAUAAAGAAUGUUAGACUUUGUUGUGAGCCUGAUCAAAGACCAGGUGGUGGUGUGGGAAAUUCUGGUGUGGCACCUGAUGCAGCGUAAUAUUCCCCCUACCUUAGCUUUUGUUUCCUCUCUCUAUAUCACUGCGUCCAUCUCAUGAAUAUGCAUGUUGCUUCCCUGUGCAGACAUGGUUACUAUUUUCCUAAGUUCCUUAAUCCUUUAUCCUGGAUAUGUCUUAUCGUUUGUUCAUUUUUAAUAUUCUUCAUUGUGUUAAAAAAAAAAAAAAUUAAUUGCUGGCACUUUUAUGUGGCUGCCGCAGCCUUUCAUGAUCAAACAGUGGCUGUUACUGAUGGCUGUUACUAAUGUGAAAAUUUCACUACCGUUGCUUGUAGAAAGGUAAUGGGCUGUUGAAAAACCAUUAAACAGCAGCCAUUUUAUUAUGGGUGUUAUUUGAAACAAUGGUGCUGAUUUAUGUGCUGCGAGUAUCAUCGGAAUCAUGCAACCUUCUUGCUGGGUGCUUAUAUGCGUGGGGGAGUGUGUUUGAAAAUGUGUUAUAGUUUAUGGUCUAAAAUGUAAAAAUUGAUUGUGUCCAGGUUGGUGGUUUCGUUUUUUUUUUUUCUAUAUUACCUCUAGAUAAGGUAGUGAAAGGAAAUAAAAUAAUAUGGAAUUGGGAAGGAAAAAGGGAAUAUUGGUAUUGCUUGAAGGGUGACUACGAGUCAAAUUGUACAUUUAAGCAAAGGUACCUGAUUAUAUUUCACUUUUUGGACUUCUCUUGAUCAAGUAAUGAUAUCAAAAUUAAUUAUUGCACUUUCAGGUUUUCAUCCUUGAAGACGUCUGCUUGUUUGAGAUUGUGUUAGCCAUGUUAAUGGAGCGUUUGAACAUAGAAAACUUUCUUGUUACUCAUGUGCUUAUUGGUCUUAUACUGUUGGAAAAAUUACUUGAAAUAGUAGCGGGGCUUGCAAAUUGAAUUUUUUGUUCAGUUCAGUAGUUUUUUCUUUUUGUCAUAACUUGGCAAUCAUAUUCAUAAUUCUUUUAAUUCAAAGGAUGUUCUGGCUUGUACAAAAAGAGGUGCUUGUCGUCAUCAUGUUUGUAAGAAAUGGUACUUGGUAACUUGUGCAAUUGCUAACAUAAACGUCUGACAUAUAUGGUUUCUCCACAGUGAGAUACAGCUGAAAAGCCCAAAUUGGCUUUUUGGCCAGAGAAAGUAUGAAGAAAGUGGUACUGGCCCCAAGGCUCCUCAACACGAAAAUGAAAAUGGAGGAUCUCAUAAAGAUAUUAGAGUUGAUGCUUACUGUGACUUGGACUGGCUUUCUUCUGUUGGUGAUAUGAACGAAGAGGACGUCUUCCAAAGGUAUUUUCUUGAUUGUGUCUUGCCAUUUCUCGCACAGAUUAACUUGCUCCAGAGUCGUGACUUAUCUCCUGUCAUUGGCUGCCUUCAAGUUGGCUUCUCAUGAACCAACAGUUCAUUUCUGUUUUAUGGUUUGGCUUGUUGAUUUUGGAUUAAGUCAUACCAGCAUCCUUAUUUGCAUAUGUGCGUGAUGCUUGCUAGUUCCAAUUUGCAAUUUAUUUUCAAAGUUAGAUGGUGAGCACCCUUGUCUCAGUAAGAAUACACUCAACUCUGGAAGUGCAUUUAUUGAAUUGAUUGCACAAUGAUGGGGAAGACUCGAACCCAUAUAUUUGUUUUCUCUCUAUUUUAUUUCUUUUAAAAAAAAGAAUAUCUCUUUUCCUUCUUUUCAUUUUAGUUCUGAAUGACCUUACCUAAGAAGCCAAUUGCCAAUGUUAUUGUACUAGCUAAUUGAAUGUUAGUUUUGUUUUGAUUUCAAGGUACCUUGCAAUGACUUCAGUUGACGAAGCCAGCGGCUGGUAUGGUGGUACAUUACUCGGAGAUCAAGAUGAAAGCAGUGAGAUUUAUAAACAUUAUGCUGAACUAUGUCAGGUAAAUUGAUUGAGGCCCCUUAUCAAAAAAAUAAUUGAUUUAGGCUGGUCGAUGAAUUUACAGUUAUUAAUGGGACAAGCUCUUUUGCACUGUGCAAAGUAUUAUUCUAUAGCAAUUGGCAUUCUUUGCAUAGAUUCUGAUAUUUUGGAUUAGCUUUGGCAUCUAGUAUUUUUCAGAUUUCUGUGGUUUCCUUAUGUUUUAAGUUUUUUCUUUCUAAUUUAAUCAUUUAUCAGUAAAGAAAGGAAAGACACAUAGGAUAGUAUGAAAUCAAUCUCUUUCCUUACUAAUGUGUUUAGCAUACUGAAAAUAGUGGAAUCAACAGGGCCCGGCUAUGGAACCUUUCCAGCACGAUCUGGACAGGGAGGAGCAGUACGCCGAUAUUCUGCGCAUGAACGCAAUUGGUGUUGUAGAUGAUGCUGCGAUCGAAGCAGAGAUGGCAGCAGCUCUCAAAGAUUACGAACAAAUCGGUGCUGAUCUUGGGAUUAACACCAACAUCCUGCAAAUCCUUUGCUGAAGACUCGAAUCAAUUGACUGGAGGGAUUAUUGUGGAGAUAAAGAAGGUAGAAGGGUCUGAGAUAUGUUUGUGAAUAUUGUAAUUAGAAGGCAUAAAAAACCUUGCAUCCAGCAUCAAAUUUUUUUAAAAGAAAAUCUAACAGCCUUAUGGGGACAGGAAAUACCAGUUCCAGAAGCCUUCAUUAUAUUUCUUGGUUGAAAUUUAGUUCCAAGCCCUAAGGAAAAGACCUGUAAAGAAUGUAUGCACUUUUGUGAACUUUUUAUUUAAAGUAAAUAAUUUGUAAAUAACCUAACUCAGUGGUGGGAUUAUCACUAUGAUUUUCUCAUUUUAAUGCCAUAUCUAUAGUAAGAUUUGUUUCUUUAAUUAGCUUAUUAGGAAAAGGAACCUGAUCUUUAACCUAAUAUGCCAAAGAUGACUUUGGAUUCAAAACAUCUACUCCAAAUUAACAUACAAUCUUAUUACCUGAGUUAUGCCUCAGCUGUCCUUAAAAUAAUACUCUGAUAUUUAUGCUGAAUGUUUUAUUGUAGUUUACGAAAUUUAGAGGGUUAUGAUACAUUUACUUGAGCUUGUUUCCUUUUCAAUUUUCUAACUUUGACCUAUCCGACCAUAUAUUACCUAUUUCUAAUUGUUUAAGAUAGUAUUUUGUUUUUUUAACACAGAUAGAAUGCAGUUAAUUAGGAAAAGAGAACAUAGAUUUGGCCAUAUUGUGAGCCAAAUAAUUACAAGAACGCUAGCAAUGCGAGACUAGAACCUCAGAAAACAAAGGCAACAUAGAAAAAACGUCAUCAAAAACAGAUAAAACCAAGGAACUAGCAAGGGUUUCUUGUUUGCCAUAUUCAUAACUGAAAGAGAGUCUCCUUCGAAAUAAACCUUCCUCCAGGAGUAACUCAGAGCCUAUUGCAUGCUAUCUCUAAUAGCAAGAAAGGGCCUGAAAUACCUAUUUAAACCUUUGCCAAGGAGUUCAUAAUGUGGUUGGAAUUAUUCCGAGCUAUGAACCCCACACUUCCACGAGCGAGAUGUGGUCUCCUGGAAAAUCGAAGUUUAUUUUGAUCCAAUCAUUGUGAAGUGAGGGUGAAGGACUUCCAGAAGGGACUGCCUUAAUAUGAGAAUGAUUGUGCUCUUAGGUACCAGGUUGAAAGUUGUCCAAGUCUGUUAAAGCACGGUGGAGUAAACCUUGCUCAGAGGUCCAUCUGUUGUCGAAAACUGAGGCAUUCCUCGCUUUCCAAAUGUGCCAUAAAAUGAAAGCCGGACAGCUAGGUAGAUGAUCAUUUGAGCUGAGCGUUUGAAUAUCCAGUAAAAUCUUCUCCCAUACCAAUGAAAUAUCAGACAAAUGGAAAACUGAAGGAAGGAGUCUCAGAGGAGAUAAGGACCAGACGUGCUGGGAAAAGGGGCAAAGAAAAAACAGGUGCAUUCUGGAUUUCCAUGCUCCACACCAGAUACAACUUCCAUCUGCUCCUAAACGACUUGCGCUUGAAGAUCCCACAGGGAGCGCAAUGGAAAAAAGUUUCCAAAUGAAAAUUUUUAUUUUAUUUGGAAUUUUCAUUUUCCAUAGAUUUUUACAGUGGUGAAGAACAGCAGUGGCCUCCUGCAGAUUAGAAUGAUGCCCUAUACGCUCCCGAUGAACCCAAGCAAAAUAACCAGAACCAACAGAGUAGCGACUAGAGUUAUGGUAGUGCCAUUUGAGUCGAUCAAUGGCAUUCUUGGUGCUCAGGGAGACUUCUAAAAUUUCCUUGACUUGGUUAGGUUGAAAAAUGUUGGUGCAGAAGUGAGAUUUUCCAAAUGUGUCUAUCCUGGUAAAUGAAGCGACUGACAGGGAGAUUACCAAGAUUAGAAGCCGGAAGUUGCUGAGGUUUGAAAUGAGGCAAGGCUGGAACCCAAGGGUCUGAAAUCAUCUUCACAUUGGUCCCUGAACCUAUUUGCCACCGCAAACCUUGCUUGAGAAAAUACUUUCCUUGACAUAAGCUACGCCAUGCCCAUGAAGGGGAAUAACCUUGAGGUUGCGAAAUAUCUCCCUUUCAAAACUCGAGCUAAGAGGCACACGCCAAGCUUGCUUGGAGAGGAGAGCCAAGUUGAAGCCCCGGAGAUGCUUUUGCAAAGAGUGUGCCAGGCUACCCAUUGCAUGCUGUGAUCCUUGGUAUGAUUUCUUGUUUGAGAUCGCAUAGUUGUUUAUAUUGCCGGAUUAUAUCUUUAGGCAUAAUAGCCUUAUAAAGUUUGUUUAGCAAUUAAUUAAUAGAAUCUAAAUUUAUAAUGACGAACAAUUUAUAUUAUGAAAGUGGAGUUUUGCUAGAAUAGCAUUAUAGCACUCUAUGAUUAUAAGUCAAUUUUUUAAUUACAGACAAUCAAUCAGAUAUUAUUUUAAAUAAUUUAUUUAUUUUAUACAUACUCCUACUAAUAUAAAUUAUUAAUUAAUUUAUAUAUAAUUAUUAAUUAUUUAUAAAUAAUUAUUAAUUAUUUAUAAAAAUUAUUAAUUAUUUAUAAAAAUUAUACAGUCGAAUUUCACAAUUGUUCAAUGUUACUGAUUAAAUUCUAAACAUAAAUAAAAAAUUCUAAUAAAUAAAAAUAAUGCAUUUGAUUUAUUAAUAACUAUGUACUAAUUUAGUAUUUAAUUAUGUUAAUAAAUUAUUAAAAUUAAAAUAAUAUCAAUUUUUAUGGAUUUAUACAGUGCCAUAAACUCAUAUAACAUUAGAUGAUUUAAUAUUAUAAUGUAAUAGUAAGUUCAGCUUAAUGUUUGAUGCAUAUACCAACAAGAAAAAUAUAUAAAGUUGGAAUUCUAUGUAUCUCUUAAACUAAAGAAAAACAUGAAGCUUCUAUGAAGCAAGAAUGUAUAUUCCAUUUGUAUGAUAAUAUCUAAGGAGAAAAACGCAAACAUAGAGAUCAUAGUUUUCCAUAUUUAUUGUAUUAAAAUCUCAAUAAAGUGGAGAAGAAUAGGCGUAGCAAAGUUACAUGACCUGUCGAGAUAGAAAAUCUCGAAUAGUUGCCACUAUAUUGGAACAAUCAUAUUUCUGUAUUCUAGCAAUCCUGACAUACGGUUAAUGUUUUUCUAUGUAAAUCUGCAUGGGAGGCUCACCAGGAGAUUUUCCAGGAUUCGGGGCUGACGGAGGAGUGUUACCAUUAACUUGGAGAUUUUUAGUCUUAACUCGCAUAGGUGGCUCACCUGGAGAUUUCCCAGGACUUGGGCCAGAAGGAGGAGUCUUCCCAUCAACUUCAGAAUUUUUAAUCUUAAUUCGCAUAGGUGGCUCUCCAGGGGAUUUUCCAGGACUCGGGCCAGAAGGAGGAGUUUUACCAUCAACCACUUGCAUAGGUGGCUCACCUGGAGAUUUUCUAGGACUCGGGCCAGAAGGAGGAGUUUUACCAUCAACCACUUGCAUAGGUGGCUCACCUGGAGAUUUUCUGGGACUUGGGCCAGAAGGUGGAGUGUUUCCACCGGCUACAAAGGAGACAAACAGAAAAACAAAGGCCAAAAGUAAACAGAUUUUUGAAAACUCCAUUUUUCUUUAUGAAGAAACCCUCAGUAGCAGUCUCAGGAAAUGAGUGGGACUCUUAUAUAAUAGGGUAUUUAUAGCAAAUGGCAUAUAGCAAUCUAAUUAAGCAGAAAAUUAAUACCAUAUCUUUGGAGAUCCUGUUGUUGAUAUUAGUUUCUGUACAUUCUUAAUAUAUUUUAGGACUGAUUGCUAUUGCCCUUUAGGUUUGGUUAUAUUUACAGUCUAAUCCUGUUUUUCUAAAAAUGGAUUAGUAAACUCAUGACAAUUGAGUUUAGCAAGGAAACUAGUUUUAUAGAAUCUAAUAUAAUGUUUUAAUUUUAAUUUAUCGACAGAUUUUUUUUAUAAUUAAUAAAGUAAUUUCCUUUAAAUUUUAAAAAUUUUCAAUAAUUUACAAUUAAAUCGUUUGUUAUUACUUUUUCCUCACACCUUUCUUUUCUUGUCUUUUUUUUUUCUCUCUUUCUCACUUAUUCUUAUUUUUUAUUUUUCAUUUUUUUCUUUCUCACUCAUUAUUUUUUACUUUUUCCACAAUACUUUGUUUUUCUUUUAUAUUGUAGUUUCUCCAAAUCCACUAAAGUUUUAAAGAAGUAAAUUUAUUUGAAAUUCUUUUGUUUCUUUUCUUUUUUAUUAAUUUCUUUAUCUUGAUUGCAAAAGAAGUUUAUUGAAUUUUAUCUAUAUCAUUUUUAUCUUUAUUAUCUUGAAUAAUUUUUUUAAUGAUCUCAUAUACUCUUUAUUUAUUUAUUUUUUAAAUUUUAUUGUCAAUUUUGUUCUUCUCUUAUAUUUACCGCUAAAGUAUUGAUAAACUAUUUUUUUUAUUUUUAUAAAAAUUAAAUUUAUUGACGGAAUAAGUUAUUGCUAAAUAUUAUGGUAACAAUAUUUUUACAAAUUUUUUCCAAUGAAUUUACAGACAACUGAUCACUUACCCGUUCAUCGCGCGGUUGUAUUAUUAUUUUGAUUAUAAAAUAAAAUAGAUAGAUACAGUUUAAUAAGAUUUUAACAAUAUUAAUUUAUAAUAUUUUUAAAAUAACAGCAAACUAACUAUUUUUAAAUGUUUUUAAUUUUUUAAAAUUUUAAAAUUUUAUUAAUGCACUAAUAUAAAAAUUAUUUAAAAAAAAUUUAUUAAUUAAUUUAAAUAUUAUAUAAAUUAAUACUAUCAAUAUAAUUGAUAUUGCUAUUUCUUAAGGUUAAAAAUUUAAAAAGUUAAUCUAUUAUUAAAUAUAAUAUUUAAAAUAUUAUUUUUUAAAAUUAGAAUUAAUUUUUAAUUAAUAAACUAAUUUAUUAGUUAAUAUAAAAUUAAAAUAUAAUUAAUUUAUUAAUUCUUGGGAUAGAAUUAGUAUUAUUAUCUGGUUAGAAAAUUAUUUAUUAGUUAAUAUAAUAUUAAAAUAUAAUUAAUAUACUAUUUCUUAGGAUUAAAGUCAAUAUUUAAUUAGGAAUGUAACUUAUUAAUUAAUAAAUUAAUAAAAAAAUAAUAAAAUUAUAUAUAAACUUGAAUCUCAUAUGUUAAAAAUAAAUAUACAUGUCAAAAUCAAAUAAAUAUACAUAUUAAAAUAAAAAUCCUAUUUGUCAAAAAUUAAACACACAUAUUGAAAAAAUUCUAAGUCUCAAAAGUUGAUAUAUAUAUAUAUAUAUAUAUAUAUAUAUAUAUAUAUAUAUAUAUAUAUAUAUAUAUAUAUAUAUAUAUAUAUAUAUAUAUAUAUAUAGAGAGAGAGAGAGAGAGAGAGAGAGAAGAGAGAAAUAAUUAAUAGUCUAGAUUUCUGAUUUUGUUGGUAAACUAAUAUUUUCUUUAAUAGUGAAAGACGCCAAACAUUUAAUAUGGAAUAAUAAUAUAACAAGUAAUAAAUAAAAUGGGCAAACUGGUAAAAUAUAUCUUUUUUAUCUUUAAUUUUUAAUAAGAAACUUAAGCAAUUUAAUAUUAGUAAAUAAUUAAGUAAUGUACGAGAAGUAUGUGUUCCUAUCUUCUGAAGAAGAAACAAAAUUUAUAUUAUAUUAAACAUGCAAAAUCUUUGAAUGAAUAGAUUAAAUGUAAACUUAUAAAUUAUAAUUCAUAGAAUUAAUUUUAGUACCUAGUUAUGAUUUUUAAUUUUAAGAAUUAAUUAAUAUUUAUAGAAGAAUUUGCAUGACUAGUAUUUAAUCAAUUGCAUAAUAAGAUUUAAAUUUAUUUCUUUUUCUCCAUUUCUGUCCAUGUUUGAUAUAUAUUAUUAAUUUGAUAUAGAAAAAAAUGAAUGGCUCACUAAUUUCUUAAAAUGAUACGUAAUUUAAAAUGAAUUAUUUUUCUAACAUUGUGUUUGUUUGAAAUAAAUUUUAUAAAAUUCAUUUAUAAAUUAAAAAUUUAUGUGUUUGAUUGAAAUAAAAGUUCAUUUAAAAUCUAUAUAAUUAAAUUUAUGAAAUUAGUUAUAAUUAAAUUAAAUUCUAAUAAGAUAUGUAAAAUUCUUAAAUGUAUUUUAUAUUAACAAAUUAAUAUAUUUCAUAAAAUCAAACUAUAUUUCUUAAUUUUAAAUUUUAUUUUUUUCAUGUGUCAUCUCUUUCUAUAAUGAAAAAGAUUUAUUAUAAUUUAUUUAUGGCAUAAUAUUUAUUUCAUUGAAAUGAUUUCCAUACUUAAUAUUUCACACAUUUAAUAUAGAAAAUUGAUUUGCAAAUGAGUUCUUAAAUGCAUUUUGAGCCCAAAAGAUCGAAAUUGAAGCAAAUGUGUUAUUUCUCACAGAUAAGCAAAUAUGAAUAAGGUGGAGAUUUAAGCAAAUACGAUAAUUAACCCAUCAAUUAGAGAUGGUCACAAAAGCCAAUUUUGAGGGUGGAGUGCGAUCAUCAACUGUAUAUUUUGUUAUGUCACCUGGAGAUCGUCCAGGAUUCAGGCUGGAAUGAGGAAUCCUACCACCUGCUGCAAUGAAAUGCUUAUCUUUUGACCUUGGGUACAGCCAAUUUGUGGGUAAGAUACCUUACGUAGAGUUGAUGACAAAAUUGAAAGGAAAGGAAGGAGAAGCAGAAGAAGUGAGAAUGAAGAAGGUGGAGAUUUAAGCAGAAACGUUAUUCAAUUGAUGGAUUUGCAGGUCAGACCAUGUUAUCAUAUUCAUUGCUUCAUAACCUUGAUACAGUAACCAAGAACUGAAGACAACAAAAUUGACAUGAAUGGGAAAAUUUUGGCAUGAAAGGAUAAAGCUUUUACAUACGCCGUUAGUUAUAUACUUGUAAUUGUUAUAACUCGAGGCAUUCCUUGAAGAAUUUCCAGCUUGCAUUGGCCAAAGCUAGUUUCUCCUUUGCCUCGUAGUAGUUGUCAUUUGCUUGCUUGAUUUGUUCCUCCAUCUUAUUCCAAUUUGCUUGAUCCUUGGACGCUUUUUUAUUGGUUCUUUCCAAUUGCAAUGCAGUUAAUCUUUUACUAUCUAGUAGCUUUUCCUUUCUGGCGAUCAGUUCCUGAAUCUCCAUCUCUAAUCUUUCCUCUUCUUCUGUUAUCCUGGAAAGUUUAACUUCUAAAGAACUGAGCUUUUCUUGUUCUUCCAAUAGACUUGCACUGAGCUCUUUGGACUUUCCCAGUAGAGAUUUCCUUUGAACUUGGGCAGUUUCUGCAGUGAUCACAGUUUCUGCACACAGUUUCCUUAAUUUGAUUAAAGAUGCCAGCUUGAUUGAUAGCUUCUAAUGACAUGUUGAGGUAUCCUCCUAAUGCUUGUUUCUUUUCUUGCAAGAUGUCCCGGCUGAGAGCAGGACUAGAAGAUAAUCCAGUCUUGGUUUCGUCUGAAAGCUUACCGAGCACAUUUGGCAGUUGCACACCCGAAGAAGACUGGGAAGACAACACAGUUGAGCAGCCUGGAGCUUUUGGACCAUCUGGUGGAGACGUGGCUUCUUCUUCUGCCUCUUUUUCAGCCUGUGCAGGUGUCGCAUUUGCAUAGACAUGUGUUUUUGCCUUUAUUGCUUCAAUUUCUUCUCCUACUGGAAUUUGCUGCAAACUCACGAGAGUUUCAGGAACCGAUAGUAUUCCGGUUUCAGGUGUUGUUGGCUCCUGUAAAUAGAAGUUUUCAUAAAUGGCAGGAAGCGAUUGUCAAACCAUAUAUGUUUGUUCUACCAAUUACAAGAGACUUUUACAAAUAGCAUAACAAAUUAAUUCAAUCAGUAUAUUAUUCAGAAUGAAUGUCGAUACCUUUUGAAAUUUGUGCAGGAAGAAGGUUUCUUUCAGUGGAGUAGCUUCUGUCUUAGAUGGUUCCGUACUAUCUUCCACUUCCGAUCGAGGCUUGGAGACUUGAGUUAGUGGGGCACCAUUUGAUUGUGGCUCUAAACUGUUUGUGCCUUUGGUAGACUUAGGUUUUGAAGGGAAAACUUUCCAUGUCAAUCCAUCAAUCUCCCUUAUUUCCUAACAAUUAAACACGAAUUAACUAGUAUAUAGUGCAAAACUCAAAGCAAAAUAAGUUUUAUUACAAUCAAAUUUUCUAUUUCAGCAUCUGAAAUGACAAUUCAACAGAGAAAUGUUAAUAAAAAAAUUAAAACAUUAAAACAUUACCUACUAAACUAUUCAUUAAAUAAUAAAAAAACUAACUACUCACUAAUUUUUCACUUUUCCAUAUGUCGGUCUCUUAUUGGAUUGUCAUUCAAUGUCAGCAGCCUGAUCUAUACUAUAAUUUUACAUUUGAGAUAUCUAUGCACAUCAUCCAAGAUUAAAAACACAAUUGUCCAAGAAAGCUUCAUUUCUUUAUAUCUUUCUUGAACAGAUUGGUUUGUCAUCUGGGCUCCUGUGCAAAUCUGCCAAAGUCCCUCCCUAACAGCAAGAUAUCAUCCAAAACUUUGAGAUCUUACCAGCAUGUUGUGUCUUCUGUCGUGGAUCAAGAGAUUGUGAUCAUCAGAAAUGGUUAUUGUAAAUGUAUCAAUAAGAACCUUUGUGCCAAUAUUGCUUAUGUGCAAGCCACCACCAAAUAGUAGCUUCUUAAUUCUCAUUGUAUGAUCUUCAUUCAUCUCUUUGAAGAAACACACAAUGUCCAAGAAAAUGACCUUGUCCCUACCUGUCGGUCCAUCAAAACUUAUAUGAAGAACAUCCAUGAUAUUUUCACUGGGAUCACCAGAUGAUAUGAUGAUUCUGCUUCCAGGGCCAAACCAAUCUUGCUUUCUAGAAAAAGAUACCAAUUGUUCUAAUUUAUACACUUCAUCAACAAUUACAUGAACCUGUUUGGAGUGCUGCCUUUUCCUUGUCAGAUUGUUUUCUUGAGCACUAUCCCAUAUUUUUCUGCCCCACCGCAGCCCGCAGAACCUUAUGGUACCAAUAUCAUCCAACUUUUCAUAUAACUUCAAAUUCAUUUCCUUUACUUUGGAAUCCAAUUGGUGUAGUUGCUUGUCAACACUUGGGCCUGCUUUUCUCAGUUUACGUAAUAUCUUAUGUCCAAUUAUUUUGAUUAACUUCGACUCAGAUCUGAAACGGGAAAAAAGAAAAUUGUUUAGUUAGUUAGCAAUAAAAAGAGCAGGAGUCUACCAAUUCAAUAAAAACAAGUCAACUAUAAGUCAAUCAGCUCGGUUGUUACAGAAGCAACCCACUCCCCACUUUGCAAAUUCAGGGAUCCACAAGAACAAUAUUCAUUAAUUUUCAUAAUUAUCUUAAAAAAAAUCUAAUAAGAAUCAACAAAAAAGAGAAACAAAAUAAUGAAUUAAGUUCAUGAAUGAAUGUUCAAAAUUACCUGUAAUUGUCCUUGUCCCAUCCACUUACGUCAGUAACCUUUUUAAGAGCAUUCCUCCACUUAUCAACCCUCUUCUUCUUGAACUCCUUUUCAUGAUCUCUAAAAGCUUUCCUAUAAGCACCAGUUUGCUUAGAUACAUGAUCUGGCUUUACAUUCAAGAAAACUGGUAAAAUCAUAUGUCCCGUAAGCUUGUUGCAUUUAACAAUCUUUACAAGCUCAUCCAAGCACCAUCUCGAAGCAGCAUAAUUUUUGGAGAAAACAAUGAUGGACAUCCUCGAUCUCUCGAUUGCUCGUAGAAGGGUUGCGGUAAUGACAUUUCCCCUUGCUAGUUUCUUAUCAUCUCUAUAUGUCUUGAUGCCUCUCUCAACUAGACCAGUGUAGAGAUGGUCAGUGAAGUUCUCGCGGGUGUCUUGACCGCUAAAGCUGAGAAAAACAUCGUAUCUCCAGGAAGAAAGCUGAGAAGGAGGUGGCGGUGGCAGUGGAAGAUCAGAGGGAGGAGGAUGAGGAUAAGAACGAGGGAGUUCUUCAAUGCCCUCCGCUGCCAUUGCAGAAUCUAGUUAUUAACUAGUUGGCAGUGUUUUGUGAUGUUAGAAAAGUAUAGUGAGUUGACUGGCUAUGGCGUUGGACAUUCAGCCAACAAGACGAGUCUUUAUACAGUAGUUUGUUUCNNNNNNNNNNNNNNNNNNNNNNNNNNNNNNNNNNNNNNNNNNNNNNNNNNNNNNNNNNNNAUUAGCAUAAAUAAUUAAGUCAGUUUCUGAGAAUCUCUCCUUUAGGUACCAUUAUAUUUCCUUGUGAAAAACUUCAACCACAAAUGUUUAGCUUUGCAGAAGGUAGAGCUUCUUGGAAAGAAUGGGAUGGUCAUUCCCACUCCAACAUUUUUAAAAAUUGCAUAAUAUUUAACCUGCUUCUGAAGUAGAGAAAGUACUAAAAAUUUCAAUAUUUUUUAUUUCAUUAAAUUUACCUAUGCGGUAUUUACUGUUUUUAUAAAAUUAUUUUUAAUUUUAGAAUAUUAAGGAACAGUUUUGUAAAAGUACAAGAACAUUUAUUUCAGUGCAUAAUGCACCUCACACAUGGGUCUUAAAAUUAAUUAACUGCAGCCAACUGUGCUUAUUUAUUGAGCUCCUUCUCUGGUAAUUUAAUAACCUUCAACUUCAACUGCAGCUGAAAAAUGUUACAUGAUAAGCUUACUAUAAAACUUUGCAUCCAUUUCAAUACUUCUUUUCUUUUUCAUUUACACUGUUGCCUUGAGGUUCAAUCUUCUCAUGAUCAAAUUAUUAAAUGAAUCAUAUAAAAAAUCCAUUAUUACCAUUUUUAGUUUUUCACUUUAUUGAGCAUCGGUCAAGCCCGGUGAGAAAUUUAUUUAAAUAUUAUCUAAAUUCUAUGAGUCUAUGAAAGUCUAAGUCAUAAUCUCGAUUCCUGGCUCGUAUUUAUUCCUUAAAAUUCACGGGUUAGGAAUUAGUUGAUAAUCAUUAAUGAUUACCAAUAUGUGAUAAAUAAGAGUGUCAGAGUGUCGGAAGUGAAAAAAAUAGUUACAAAAAUUUUUAAAAUUAUUUGCGCGUGAUCAGAAAAUAGUGAAUAAAUUAAAAGAAAAAAACGAGAAUACCUCGGUUAAAAGAGUUUUCUAGAAUACAUACACAUUAUAAUAAGUGGGUAGAGAAAGAUUUAAAAGAAAAAUGUAAAGAUAGAAACGUGAGAUAAAAAAAAUAUUUUUUUUUAGUAUUAUUAUUGAUUAGCCUCUUUAAAUUUCAUACAUUAUCUAUUGACUUGUUUAAUGAGAAAACAUCGUAUCACUUAGAAUAAUUAAUUAAAUUUUAUUAUAUAUAUUUAAUUAAAUAUAUCUAAAAUAAACUAUUCUAAAUUAAUAUCAUCGUUAAUUAAUAAUUUGAUUUAUUUUUGUUCAAAUAUAUUUCAAAUAACGUGAUAAACAACAAAAUCACUUAAAUUUCAUUGACUUUUGUGACUAUUAUACAUGUUUUGAGAUCUAGGGUUUUUCUUUUUGGGUCAACUAGAUCUAGGGUUUGUGACAGCAACUUAUAUAUUUGUCUUUACUCAUCACAUGUGUCGCUCCAUAAAACUUUGGAAUGCGGAAAUGGAGAAAGCUAAAAAUAUUUAUUUAUAAACAGUUAUUUCGGGUAGAUACAAUUUGACGGGUAGCUCUAAUUAAUAUGUAAUUAAAUUAAUUAAUUAUCUAGUAAUGGAUAAUCUUAAGGGACUGGAUUAGUGUGCCAUUGAUCCAAGUCUUACUUCCUGGUACUUUCUGGAAGUUGAAAUUGCUAAAUUAUUCAAAUAAUUAAGUUCCUGGGAGAAAGCUUAAAUUGUUUUUAAAUAUUAUCUUGUGCAGAUAAUUUGACGGGUCGAUCUAAUUAACAUGCAAGAUAACUAAUUUUUUGUACUGAUCUAAGGAAUCAGGUGUGCCCUGGCACAACUCCUCCUUCCUGGAAGUUUCACAGAGUUGGAAAUGCAAAAAUUCAUACAAGAUAAGUCUAUGAACCUUUAAUUCCUGGGAGAAGCUUGUGAAUUGCUAUAUUCUGAUGUAUCCAAAAAAGACAAAAGAAAAAAAUGUGGGAACUACGUCACUGGGCACCACAAGCUCAACGUCAUGUCUUACAUAACCCUAUCUCUUAAGUCAGUUUAGUUGAAUGUCACGAACUCACUAAAUUUGGAUAAUAAUUCUUUUGGAGGUUUAAAAUCAAAAUUAAUAUUAAAAUAUAAUACUAAUAUUUUUAAAAUUUAAAAGCUAUAAAUUAAAUUUAAAAUUUUUUUACAUAAAUUUAGUAUAUACACCACAAUUAAUAAGAAAGUAAUACAUAUUUAUUAGUUUUAGAUAAUAAACCGAUAAAUGAUUGAUAAAAUAUGUGUCAAUCAUCUAUUGGUUUGAUGUAUAAGUGAGAACAUAUAUUAAGUCUAGACAAAAUUUUUUAAAUUUAAUAAUUAAUAUAAAAUAUAUGAUUUUUAACAAUUAUAUAUAUAUUAUUUCUUUGGAUUUUUCAGUUUUUUAAAUGCCACCAUUUUUAUGCCUUGAUUAUGGUGCAUUGGAUACCAUCAAAAUAUAGUUCUGACUGAUGAAAUUCUUUCAAAAAAAUAGCACGACUGGUACAAGUAUUAUAUGAACUCUAUUAUUAAGAUAUUCCGUACUGGAGUAAAAUUAAUGUAUCUUCGAAUAAUAUAUUCUUGUAAAAAGAUAAUCAUAUUCAUAGAUGAUCCACACAGAAAAACUGAUAUGUACUUAUUGUGCCAUUCUGUACCUCUGGAGGGGUGGGGUUUGGUGGUGAAAACAAGUUGAUUAUAGUUCUGGCGGGUUCUAGCAGCAGGUAAAAGUGAUUCGGAUGUGGGUGACUUGAAAGGGUGGAGGGGGAGAGGUGGAGGUGGAGAUGGAGGAGGNNNCUCUGAUGGAGGAGGAGGAGGAGGAGGAGGAGGUUCUGGUUUCUUUGGAAUCUAAAGGAGGAAGUGCUCUGAAAUUAUGCAAGAAAGUAUAUCAAAUGAUGGAGUACCACAAAAUCUAAAAAUAUAUAACAACUUACCUUAAUCACUUCACACAUGAAUCAGGAACUCUUCACCUGUGACUAAUACUUUAACUUAAGUUUAUUAUUUCCAACAAGCCUCGAGUCUCAAGAGCCAUGAGAAUGCUGCAUGUUCAGGCAUAAGCUAUAGUAUAUAAAUAACCUAGACACGUACUAAUCAUGCUGUAAAAACCAGGAAAAUUCAAUUCAUAAUGACAUAUAAAAGCGAUUAUGAAAUUAAGUUAUAAACCAAAAUGAGUUUUAACUCAUUACAUAAUUAUUCUGAAGACAGGAAUUAAAACGGAACUGGAACCUCUAGAUAAGUCCAAUGUCCUUAGAGGAGUAUUAUCCCAGAAAAGUAACAAGCACACUUUUCUUUUCUUUCUGUUAUUCUGAAGAUAACAAUUAUCUACUAAAUCAUAGAGUCGAAACCAAAGUCGAUAGGGAUGUCCAUAAGCAGAAAAUCAGUCAUAGGCUCCUCGAUCUGGCUAUCUCCGCUAGCAAUGUCGUCUUUCCCAUCAGUUUCAGGCAAAAUGCUGUCACCCACUUCUGCAUUCUUCUCUUCAGCCAUGACGAGAGUUGAGCAAUCUUGGGAAACCAAGGUCAAAGAAAAGAAUAAGAAGUUACAAAAAUUUAGUGUAUGAUUAAAAAAGGAACUUGUUUUAUAUUCAGUAAUUAAGUAAGCAUGUUUUUACCAAAGAAUUAUGAAAAGGAAUCCCAAAAAAAAAGAUGAAUUUUACAUACCAAGUGGUGCCUCUGGACUAUAUUCAGCAGCAUAAACCUGGUUGAGCUGGUUUUCAUGAGCUUCUCUGAGGAACUCCUCAACAGUUUGUUGUAUUUUUGCUUUGGAAAUGGGAUUCGAAUCGGAAUUGUCUGGUGACUGGUACACCAUUUGAUCUUCUUCUUUCAAACAGCUAUUAGAGGACGCCCUUUUCCUCUUCAAUGAGGCCUUGCUUGCCCCUUCAGAAGCUGAAGCUUGUGGCUGAAAAAUUAUCAUAACAUAUAUACCGUAGUACAUAUGAUCAUGUCCCAAUAACACUAAUAGAAGGCUUCCAUGCUAAUUAUUCCAAUUGUUAGGUUGAUUAAUAACUCAGUCUCAGGUUCAUGUCAUCUAUUAUUAGCAACCCAAUGAUUAAUUAAAGUGUUUCUCUUGCUGAUUGCCUAUGUAUGACGCUCAGGAGAUUAAAGCUUCAAAUCCUAAACCCCCAACCCCCACCCCCACUCCUCAGGUCAUCUACAAAAUACCAGAAAGAAGGAAUAGUUUCUAAUCUGAAUUGUCAGAAAAUCUGAAAUCUACCCUUCAUUCCUUUAGAAAAUCAGAAAAUUUUUGCCAAACUAUAUUGCACCAACCACUAACUCGUCUUACGACUACAUAUUCUAUUCUUAUUACUCAUCUAAUACGAAAAAUGCAACAAACAAAGAAUGGCCAAAAAAAUUCAAAAAGAAUUCGCAAUUACUAUUAAAUUAUAAGGUUUCAAAUUAAAAAAAAAAUUCGAGAUUACAAUUAUAUUCUUUUCUUAAAAAUUUGCGAUAUCCCAAGAAAUUCAAAGAGAAAAAAUGAACUACUAAAAUAUUUGAACAGAUGUGUAAAUGUUUUCCAAACUCACCGUUGGAUUUUCAGUCCCUUCCUCUUUCUUCAUCUUUUUCAGUUGCCUUGGGCUUAUUCCAUACAGUUCAUAGUUAUCAACCUCAACAAGUGAUCGGCACAUAACGUUGGUUUCUUUGUGAUAAUAGUACUGCAGGCAAACAAUUUAGUACCAAAAGGAAAAUAAAUUAUAGCUUAAAUUCCAAAGGAAAUUGCGAACAUUAAUUAUCUAUUGAAGGCUAAGAAAAAAAUAAUAUUAUAAUUAAUUUUAAUUGAUAGCUAGUGCACAUAUGUAAAUGCUUUAAUGACUGAUAUAAUACACUAUUUUUCAAGCAAGUAAUCUUUGUAUCACAAUAUUUCCUAAUUGUAGUGAAUGAUUGCUGCUAUAUUUUUAUUUUUUUAAUUAUCGAAAUCAUAAAUAUAUAUUUUUUAACCUGCAUUAGUUCUAUAUAUCACCCAAGUGGCAAGGUAAUUUGCUAAAGAAUAUCAAUAAAAUUCUGAAUUUUUCUUAAACAAAUAAUUUUACUAAUAAAUAGAACAUAUUAAGUAUAAAUUUCAGAAAAAGGGUAAGUAUAAAAUAGUGGGGAGUGAACAAAAUACCUUGUCAAUUCUCCCAUUUGGGCGUUGUCUAGGGUAAAUGUUCCAAUUCUUCAGCCAACUGGGCUCUUCUUUCCUGCUUCUAGCUCCAAUAUUCCUCAAGGUAGCAUUCUCCUCAGUUUGACCAGCAACAAGCUGCUAUACCCAUAAUCAAGCAAAAUAACAAUGAAUUAGAUUUUGCCAUAAUCCACCACUUAAGAAUAAUUUUUUUUAUUUUAUUUUAUUUUAAAUAAAAGGUUGACACUAUAUGUGUGAACAUGAUAUUAUUUUAUCUGCUUAAAUUUUUUCUUAAACUUUUGGCAUAAUUUAAAUUCUUUACUAUUACAACCAACAUUGAACCAAAAAAAACAAAAUCAUAGAUAAAUUGAAGAACCCCCAAAAACAUAUUGAAGCCAGCACAAUGUUUAUUUCCAAUAUUGUUUGGAGAUUAUAUGUAUUUAUGUAUUAGUAUUAUGGAAAAGAAUAGUACCUGGUCAUCUAGCACGAUGAAAUUCGGCACCUUAAAUGAAAUUGGAACAGCUUCAAUGGGAUAGUCAUCCACUGAUAUAUCUGAGGGAAGUGGCUUUGAUUUUACUUUUGAUGUUCCUGCCACUGGCUUUGGUGCCUAAUUGGCACAAAGCAAUCACAAGUGAAUACAUAAUUAAACAACAAAAUUUAAGGUUCUAAUAGAAUUUCUCAUUAUUUAAGCAAGAUUUGAAAUCAAUACAAUCAGUAGAAUUUUCAUUAAACAAUCUCUGACACUAAAACUGGAGUUGCACAAAGACUUGAGCUAAGUAUAAAUUAGCCUUGUUAAGCAAAGCCCCAAAAGAAAUGAAGAUGAAAAGGCUACAAAAACAAAAUUAUAAAUGUAUAAUCAGAAUUUAUAUUUUCAAGCACACUGAAUUAAUACAUAAGCUUACUCUAAGUUAUGGAAAGAUAUUAAUCUUUUGGCUGGUUUUUAAUUAUGUUGCAUCUUUUUUAAUGAAAUAUCUUGCAAAUCUGUUUAUAGUUUAAGUUAUUAAUUAAUCUAUAUUAAUAAGAUUAUAGCCUUAAGGCUAUGUUCUUUAUCUAAAAAUUAUAAUAAGUAAAUCUCACAACCAAUCUUAGUCAUGCAAUUUCUUAUACUAUUGAAAUCUUAUAUUGUAAAAGCAUUUAGUGUGUUUUUUCUUUUUCUAGCCGCACUAUUUAUAGUUGAAAAAUAUCAAUUGUAUUUAUGUAAUAAAGAUCAGCACUCAAUUAAUUAUUUUAAAAAGGAAAGGCGGCGCGUCGAAUUAUAUAUGAGUAGUAUAUACAUUGGUGAUCUUCUCUUUUUAGCCUCACUAUUUAUAGUUGAAAGAUAUCAAUUGUGUUUAUCUAAUAAAGAUCAACAAUGAAUUGAUAAUUUAAAAAAAGAAAGGCGGCGCGUCGAAUUAUAUAUAAAUUGGUGGUCUUUCUCUUUUUAGCUUCACUAUUUAUAGUUGAAAAAUAUCAUUUGUAUUUAUCUAAUAAAGAUCAACACCCAAUAAUGAUUUUUGAUAAAGAAAGACGCGUGUCGAAUUAUAUAUAAGUAUGUAUAUACUAGUUAUCCAAUCAUUUAAAGAUUUGAUAUGAUCAAUCUACUUUUAGUUGUAAGAUAUGUUAUUUUAACUAGCAACAACAUAUGAUUGUUUUAAAAGAAAAAAAAAUGAUAGAUAAAAUUAUAAAUCCUGUGAAUAUCAAUAGUUAUAUCAUUUUAAAGGUCUUAUAACAUAUUUUAGAUCCGAGAAUAUAUAUUAAUCAUAAAUAUUAAUAACCUUAAGAUUAUUUCUUUGAUAACACAUGUCAUAACAAAAUAUAGUUGCAUAGUUAAAAAUUGGCGUAGAAUUUAUUUAUUUUAAGAAUAUAAAAUAAAUAAAUUUUAUGCCGCCUUUUUAUCUAUGUAAAAAAAAUCUUAUUACAAGAGGUGUUAGCAAAAAAAAUCUAUUUAUAAUUAACAUAUUUAGUAUAUCUUUUUUUUUUCUUUCGCUGCAAUCUGUUUAUGGUUAUAAAGAUUUUGUAAUUACAUUAAUAAAGAUCACAAUUCACUUGCUAAUUCUAAAAAGAGAAAGGCGGCACGUCGAAUGAUCAGUCGUGUGCAUGUCGACCAUUCUACCAUUUUAGGGUUUCAAAUUUCGAGCAUAAAUAAUCUAUAUCACCAAUUUGUUUUAAAUUUUACUAUCACUUUGCGGUUUUUCAUUUACAAAAAAAUCAGUAUCAUUUUAAAUAAGAUUCUAUUUUGUAGAAUUUUAGGAGUCUUAUAUGAACAUCUAGUGUCUAAAAUGUUUACCCCCUUUGAAGAUUUGCAUCAAUAAUCACAACAUAUGAGCAAAGCUCACAAGAUGAUGUAUUGAUUUCAAGCUCUCACAAGGGAUAUGUCAUGCAUGUGUAAAUCUAUGUAUAAAUUUAUGCACUACAUAGAGAAAACUAAGAGAGGGAAGAUUAUAGAAAUGAAAAUGAGAGAAGAAAGUAUACCAACUCUUCAACACCAACGGAUCCAUUAGUUUUUUUUGUAUAAAUUUGAAGCUGAUGAGGAAUCGGUGGAUUUGGCACUAGAUUCAUUCCGAUUCCACUCUGUUGGACAAAUCUGUAGAAUGGCAAUCGCUUCUGAAAAAAGAAAACAACAACAACAACAAAAGAAAAGAAUUUUUCAAUUAAUCCAUGCAUUAGAUCAACUAAAAAGUUAAAAAUAGAAGUAGGCCCUUUCAUAUGGUUAAUCUCAUUCAAGAACUAAAUAAACCAAGAUAAAAUCUAGCAAAUAAAAAUUGUCAUAACAUAAAUUGAUGAAGAAAGGAGAGUCAAAAUCCAUCAAAUCUUGAAUUUCUACAUAUAAAAAGAAAUUACCCCUUGUAUUUUUUUUGUAUAAAGGGCAGACAGAAAGUGCUUGCGGCUUAUGAACAAAACAUCUUCUUCUUGCUUAGGUUUAGGAACAAAGAUUUGUAAAUCUGAAGAAGUAGUAGUAGUAGUAUUAGUUGUUGUCGUCUUUCUUUCUUGGUGGCUCAUAAAAUAAAAAUCUCCCAUCCAAGAAUUAUAGAGAGUGAGAAUUUAAAAGCCAAGAAUUGAGAGACAAAUCAAGGUUACAAGGGCCUGAGUGGAUUUUGCUAAAAGAUUGCCAUUUUAGGAGAAAUUACUUAGAAUGGCUUUGUGUUGAUGUUCUUGGUAAAAGACUUACCAAUUCAAGUGAGAAUGAAAGAGUGGGGAGAUGGGUUUAUUUAUAAUCAAAACAAUUUAACAUAAUUUUGAUUAAAAGAAAAUAUUAGAGAAAAUAGAGAGAAGAGAUGCAGAAUUGUUUUGACAAUUGUUUCAUGUUCAUGCAUGCAAUCUGCCUCGUGCAUUUCAAGGAAAACAAAUAAGGUGGUUUUGUUUGAGGGAAUUUUAUAAUAUUAAUAUAUGUUAAUUUCAAGUAAUUCUCCAACCAUUUUUUUUCCUUUCUUUCUUUUAUUUUUUACCUUUUCUUUUCUCUUCUUUUUGAAACCCUUUCUAGAUUUUGAUUCUAUUAUUUUAUUUUGAGAGAUUUUGGAAAUAAUUUUAUAUAUCAAGUCAUCUAUAGAAAUAUUUAAUAAAAAAUAAGUUAUAUUAAUUAAUGAUGUUACAAACUUAAUUAUAAAUGUAAUUAAAAAAUAUUUGAAAUAAAUUAACUUAAUAUAAUUUAUUAUUAUAGCAUUUUCGAUAAUAUAUGUCUAUAAAUACUCGAUUAACUUAAUAUUCAUUUCCCUUGAAAAAUGACCAUUUUAAAAGAAUAAACCAAUAAAGUUUCCUUUUGAAAAUGAGAGAUAAAUUUGCAUAGUAAUAUAAUAUUAUUCUUUUCAAUUUCUAUAACUAAAAGAAAAAAAAGAUAAUUGUUAAUAUUUUUGAAUUAAAUUAAUUAUAUAGAAAAUGUGUAAAGAGAAUAUCGAAAGUAAGUAUUACUAGUAUUUCUCUUAAAUAUAUUGCAAUAAUCUCUAUAUUUCUAAAUAUGAGCAGAAAAAUGUAUUAUCUACCAUAUUUAUUAAUUUUCAUAAAUAGAAUAAUGAUUAUAUUAGACUUAAAAAUGGCAACAUAAAUCGGAACAUAGCCUUCUAUGUUAAUACAAAGGGUCAAAAUAUUAUUUUUGGUUAAUUGAUAACAAAAUGAGUCAAAUGUAAACUAAUACAAAAAUAAUUUAUAAAUCUCUACUCACCACUUCUUAUAUAUGUAUUCAAAUGAAAAACAAAAAAGAAAUUACUAUUUAUUAUAAUUUAUGCUUGUUCAUAAACUUGUUCACUUGACCACUCAUAAUAAGAAAGCAUGCUUGUCAUUAAUUAGUAAUUUUUAAUUAAUUUGAACUAUUUUGGUUUGUAAUUUUAUAUAUAUGAAUUAAAUAGAUAUAGGUAAAUUUUAUAUAAAUUAGGGUAGAUUUUUUCUCUAUUUUUAACCUGGAUUUCUUUAUUAGUGAAAACGAAAAAUCUAGUUGUCAGAUUUUCUCAUAUUCUAAUUUCUACUAUUAAAGGUUCGUGAUUGAAAUGGUUAUAAUAAUAGUAAGAUACAUAAGUGGAGUAACACAUGAAUGGACUUUAAAAUAUGCCCUUGCUUUAGAUUCAGGAACAAGGAUUUGUAAAACCCAUAUGAAUUUGCCUUUUAUUUUUUCAGAAAUUAUUAGGUAGAUUUUAUUAAUAAAAAUAAAUUAUUAUUUGGUAAGUGUUGUAUUUAUAUUUGCUAAUUUGUAAUUAUAAAGGGUCAUUUAUAGUUAAAUGUUAACUAGUACAAUUAAAUAUAAAUUAAAAAUCCUCCAUUUAAGAAAGAGAGAGACUGAAAAUGAAAUCUGAAGACAAUUCAAGAGGAGACAUAUCAAGACUUCAAGGGCUUGAAUGUAUUCUUUCUCUCUGCGUUGUUCUUUUUUUUUUCCUUUUCUUGAAAGAGAAUGCUGUUUUAGGACAAAUUAUCUGGAAUGGGUCAAUUGUAGAUUUUGUUUUAAUGAACUUGCCAAUUCAAGUGAGAAAGAAAGGGUGUAGAAAUGAGGUACCUGCAUUUAAAAAGAAUCUGCANNNUUUCUCUCUUUUGAAACUCUUCUUAGAUUUGGAUUUUAUUGCUUUACUAUUAUUGACUCCAUAGUCAUUUCCUUAUAAGAAUCUUGAAUUAAAAAGAAAUAAUAAUUCAACAAUAUCCCCUUUCAAGAACUAUGUAAGAUAAUUUUUUGCAUAGUAAAUGUAAUUUUUGUUUUCUGUUUCUAAUUCAAAAUUCAGGUGGUCAUCAUUGGUUUCUAUAUGACAAUUACAUUGAGUAAUCAAAAGAAUAAUCUUUACAUUGGUCAUCAUUUUCUGUGAGAGAAUUGCAGAAAAAAAAUUUAAUUUACAUAUGUCUUUUUUUUUUUUCUCCUUUUUCUUCAUUCAGGAUCUGUGGCACAAUAAUAACAUUAUAUUAUCUUGACAUAAAAUAAUUAAUCUCUAUUCAUGGACUGUUAAGCCUAGUCCCUGAAAAGACAGGAGCUGCUAAGUGUAGUGAGUCAGUUUCAUGACUUAGUUUUGGAAGGACAAACGUUUAAAAAAUUUCCUGCUUCAGGUCCACUUUAGAAAGAUAGAUAAUACAAAAUAGCAUUCUAUAGUUACAGUUCAGGAAUCUAACUCCUUGCCAAGUGGCCCUGGAGAAUCUUUUCCCGCAUUCAGAAUUCUAAGCUUAGAAAGCAAGAGUUUUUAUUUUAUAAAAUAAAAAAAUUUAAUGUUUGAAUUCUCUUUUUUAUAUUAGAUGAGUUUUCAUUUUUACGGUAAAUAUUAUUAGUCCACAACUUGUUAAGUCUUGUGUUAACAAUAACAAAAAAUUCCUGAGGGCAGAAGCUCCGGGUUCAUGAGAAUGGCAUGUUACUGAAAUAAUUUAAAGUUGUUGUGUUCGAUUUACACUUCCAUACACAUUGUUGACUGUUUCUUUUAUGUAAUAAACCUUCUAGUUUCUAAAAAGGUGAUGUUAGUUUUGGCAAUCUUUUUCAGUGUUUCAGAAACUGUCACAAAUUUGAUUUCAGUUUCUUCAAUCAGCUGAACUGAUAACUUGCUGCCCAGAUUAGACAAGCUAAUAGAAUGUCCUGAGCUCAAUUACAAGACGAGUCAGUAUAUAUCAGAAUUUAAUGCCAGGUCUCAUUAAACAGCUAAAGCAGGAAUUUCCAGGAUGAGCCAGUAUGAGUUCAGGUUGAACUACAUGUAUGUUCUGCCACUUGUCCUUUUAGCCUUUACAUCAUUGAAUCAGUAUCUCACAUUUACCUCUCAUACAAAGAAAGAAAAUUAAGUAUGUCGCUCUUAAAAAAUUUUAAUCUAUAAAAAUUUUGUAAUCUUCGUUCUAAUUAGUCUUUAUUAUCACAUAUUAUUUAUAUGUAAUAAUUUAAAUUUAGAGCUUAAUAAUUUCUACCUUCAUAGUUUGAUCGUUAGAUUGAUGGUCAAACAAUGACAUUAUGAGUUGUUAAAUUCUAAAUCUAUAUUAUUAGACACGAUGAAUACGAUAAUCGUAAUUGAUCAUAACAUUAAUGGUUAAAUCAUUGGAAAUUAAAAUUUUUAAUAAUGAAAUACUAUUUAUUAUCACAGUUUAUAACUAUAUAGUUUUUUUUUUAUCUAAAAUUACGUACUUAAAAUUGUCAAAAGAUAAAAUCACAUAUUAUUUUUUUUAUAUAUUAAUCUAUUUAAUAAAUUUUUAUACUUUUAUUUUUAUCAGCUAAACAUGCAUAUAAAUAUUGUUAUGACGAAUAAGUAACAAAAAAUAUAUCAAUGAAAUACUGAUAUUUAAUGGGUCCCUAAAUUCUUUUUUUAUAUUAUUAAAGGAUCCUAACUUUUUAAUUUUGAUUUAUUAAGUCCUACUAAUUGAUAUAAUAUCUUAUAUAAUUUUUAUCUUUUUAGUGUAAAUUUAUAUAAAUUUAAUCUAGAGUGUGUCGAGCAUAAUCUUUAAAAUGUCAUUCUCUUAAAAGUUUUAACAUAAUUGCAUAUUCAAGUUUCAAACUCAAAAUCUUAAUUCAGCUAGAAAAUAUUAUUACCAUCUCAUCUAAACAGUUUUGAAUUAUAAUUUUUAUUUUUAAACACUAUUUGAAUUUUCAUUCGCUAUACUAUUAGAUUUGGUAUUAAAAAAUCUAAUACUUGUAUAAUAGAUUUGUCAUUCAUUUAAUUUGUCUCAUUUCUACUAUUUCAUUCAUUCUUUUUUUUUUUCUUAUUCAAUGUGAAAAUCAAAAUCUCAAUAUGAGACUAUUGUUAAAUUUAGGCUUUUUAUUUUUUUUAAAAAUAGUUUCUUUUUAUUUCAAGGCAUCCUAAAAUAUCUAUAAAAUCAUUAUUCUAACUCUAAUUAAUAUCGGAUUAAUAGCAUUAGUUUCUUUUUGUUUUGCAAAUAAUCUUUUUAAUAAAUACCAAUCUCAUAAAAUCGAUUGAAUUGUUGUAUAUUAUCCAAAAAAAAUAUGGUAAUAAGCUGUCCUACAAAUGAUAUUUUGCUAAAAUGCAUUUUAUUUCUUGACUUUAUUAUUUUUAUGUUACUCUUCCUUUCUAUCUCAUUCGCAUUUCUAUUUUAUUUUAUUUUUCCUUCUUUAAGUUCUUCCCAUGGAGAGAAACUCUCAAAAUCAACAAAUAUUUAUAUAUAGAUAUAAAUUUUAAAAUAUUAAAGAUAAGAAAUUUUUAAAAUAAAAUAAAUCUUUUAAGGACGCAAUAAACUAAUAAGAGUUUUGCAGAUAUUUUGACAGCGUUUGUGUGCAUGCCUUUUAAUAGAAAUAUUUAAAAAUGAUAAAAUAGAAAUAUGAGGAUUUAUUAAAUUCUAAAACAUCAUUAAAGAAUAAGUAAAAUAAAACUAACAAUAUACAUGAACCAAAAAAUUUAUCUUUGAUUCACUUUUUCAGAAAAAGAAUAAAUACUUUUCAUAUUUAAUUAAAAUAGUAUGGCAAACAAUUAUAUCUUAAUUCGACUUGAAAAGUUUAUAUAUAAGUUCAGAUCUAGUCCAUAAAGAAAAAAGACAUAUAUAUUAUAUUUGGUUGAAAUUCAUAAAAGAAUUCAUUUCAUUUGAAAAAAAAGAUACGAGAGAGAAAAUAAAAUAAAAAGAAAUAUUUUAAUGUUAUGAAAUAAAUUAACUUACUAAUAUAAUAUUUAUUUAACAAUUCUACCUAUUUUGUUAGAAUUUAAUUUAAUUAUAGCUAAUUCCAUACAAAUUUGAUUAUAUAACAUAUUAGUUUAACUUUCAUUUCGUUUAAAUAUAAAUUUUAGAUUUGCAAACAAAUUCUAUAAAUUUUAUAGAUUUCAACUAAAUACUAUGACAAUCUUUAUUUCUGAAUUAUAUUUUAACUAAAAAAAGGUUAAAUUAUAAAAUUGAAGGACUCAAAUUGAACAAAAAAUUAAUUAGUUAAUUAAUCAAAUUUUAUACUUUGAUGGGCUUAAUAUAAUUAAAAGUGAGGAUCAAACAAGUUUGCAAGUAGAUCCAAUAUACUCUCAGCCCAAAAAGAAGAGCUUGAAUAUAGGCAAGAACUGAAAUGGACUUAAAAGUACUAUAGUAAACACACAGCACUAGUCGCAGUUUGCAAGUGUUUGAAAGAGCGAAAUGGAAGACAUAGAAGAUUUGUUAAUUGGUAGUGGUAGUGGAGGUGGUGCUCCUCCUGGGUUUCGUUUGCCACUCAAUUCAGUUGGAGUUUAUCCCAAGAAAAUCAUUAAGAAGAACAAAGGUUACCUUAAUCAUGGAAUCAGCCUUUCUCAAUCCCUUUUAUCUCCCAAAAUCCCUGGCACUCAGGUCUUUGCUUUCACUCUGUUUUUUUUUUUUUAUUUAAAUUAUAUGUAUAUAUAUAUAUAUAUAUAUAUAUAUAUAUUUAUUUAUUUAUUUAUUUAUAUAUAUAUGUAUGUUUACACUUGCGCCUCAACAAUCUUGUUGUUUUAUUCCAGACCAUAUAUAUCAAGACUUUUGGAUGCUCACAUAAUCAGGCAAGUUCUGUAUUUCUUUUCCCAUUUUUUAAGACUACGAUGGGAAUAUAACUAUUUACUAUAUGUUGAUUCGUGUGCUUGAAAAUAACCCAGAUGCUUAAUUGCAAUAAUUAUGACUCUUCUGUGUAAAGGUUGUUGUUUUCAUGUUGACCUUGAAGAAUUCAAUAAUAUGUUUGAUUGAUUUUGUAAUUGGUGCCUUACUUAUAUACUUUCAGUGCAUUAAUCUCGUUUUUUCAUUUUUGAGGAAAAUGCAUUAAUCUUGUUACUCUUACGAUACUCUACUUCUUUCUAUUUUCUUUUAUUUUGCUCCAAUCUCAUGGUGAUAUUUUUGUACUAUUAGUAGAAAUGCUAAAAGGGAUGCAAUGUCAAUUUAUUUUAUUUUUUAAUCUUUUUAUCUGUCAAAUAGAAAAUUAAUUUAAAUUUUCCACCGACAUUGUAUUGGUGCUUAAAAAGUUCAAGUUUGAAUGAAAGUUUUCCAAUGGAAAAAAGGAAAAAUGAAAAAUUGGAAACACAGUAGUUUUAGUUUAAAUUUUGCAAGGAACAUUCAGAAUAAUGCUUGAAUGUGGAAUUAUGAGCUUCCCUUUUCACUGUCGUAGCUGAGAUGAAUAUUCAAAGUUGUAAGCGACUUUUUAUGUUUUCUAACAUGAAAUAAAGGAGAGAAUGCUUUCUUAUUUAUUCUUUGUACUUUCUUUUUAAUUUUUAGGUGAGGCCUUUUUAAAGAGCUCUUAGUGAUAAUGGAAAGCCAUUAUGGCUGUUACAAAUGCAUCUUUAGGACUCCUGUUAAGUAGCAGGAGAUAAUGGUAAAGGAAGGCUGAAGUACAAGCAGAAAAUUAGGUAAUGCUCGCUUUUUAGAAAUAGAUGAUUAGUAAUUAAUAACAUGAGAGUCAAGUGUGACUAUUAGAGUGGUGUAUUUGAUUUUACACUUCUUUUUCAUGUCAUAAUCAGUGGCGAUCGAAGUGUAAUGAAGGUACUGCUUUAAAUGUAAGGUUCUCUAAUGUAUUAUGAUUAGGUUCCUCUGUUGACUUGCAAGACUGAUAUUUGUAGUUUAAGCAGGUUUGAAUUGGUCAUUUGGCUUAUUUGCAUUCUAGCCCCCCUUUCAGAACUUUUAACCUUUUCCUUAAAGCAUCAGGAGAGUCUUAGAUCUGUUAGAAAAUAAGCACAACAAAGGUGUAUGGAUCUGUUCAAAAUUUAAAGAUCUGCCCUUUUCCCUAAAGAUAUUCAUGCUGUUCUGCUCUCUUAUCAUAUGGUGUUUCUUUUUUUUUUUUCCUCUUCCCUCUUUUUGUGCUUUUUUAUAAAAUGAUUUUUAAACUCCCGUUGUGCUAACUAAUUAAGCAUCGCAGUGUACAGCUACAGUAAAAGUUGUUGCCUGACAUAAUAUGUAUCUACUGAGUCAUAAGUUGAUCUACAUUUUAGCAGUUAGCCAUCAUAUGCAUAGCCUAGCAUUACGCUCUACUGAGCUUAGCGAAGUUAAUAGUAUCUUAGCAUUGUUAUUCUUGAUUCAGUGUUGAUUGAGCUUAUUUUCAGUUAAUGCCCAUUGAAUUAUGCUUCUCACUACUGGUAAUUGUGGCAGAGUGAUAGUGAAUAUAUGGCUGGUCAGCUUUCAUCGUUUGGUUAUGCAUUAACUGACAUUCCUGAGGAUGGAGACCUGUGGCUGAUCAAUACGUGAGCAAUCAUUCUUUCUCUCAUUUUCUCUUAAGUUCUUUUUUAUUUGUUUUUUUGUUUCUUGCAAAUACUGUUUUAGAUUCUCAGCCAAUCAAUUGGACAUCAUUAUGUGGCAUAUAAGAGUCUUGUUGUUUCAUAUUUGAUGAUUGUUAUACAUGAGUUGAUGCAAAAGUCAAGCGGAAUGUUUCUUUUCUUUUCAUCUCUCACACUUUAUUAUCUACAUUAACAAAAAGAUAAACUAGGCUAAGCUGAUUGUAACAUCUCCAGGUGGUGCUUUGAGAACUGGUUGAGAUCCCUGGAUUUGCAAAAUUAGUAUCAUAGCAAUCCCUUUUCCAGUGUCUUGCUGGUGCUUAAAUAUUCAAAUCUCUUCCCCUAAGAGGAGAAAAGAAAAAAAAAAAAAAAAAAAUUCUCAGAUUGUCUUGUGUUUAAGUACCUAAAAUAGGCUACUACUAAGAUGAGGCUAAGCUCCUGAGCCGCAAGGUUAUGCCUGCUCCAUCAUGCUGUUGGCUGUUACAAGGUGACCUAGGAAUACAACUAUUUAGAUUCUAUUGAUCUGUUGUGUCACAGAUGUGAAAUUGGUGUCUCUCAGGACUGUGCAUAUCCAUGUUCGUCAUCUACCAUAGCUGAUUGUAGGCUAGAUUGUGACAAGGUGCAAUAAGGACAUGAAAAGUGGGGAUAUCGUAAUGCCAAAGUCCACAAUAGAAAUAUAGGCUAUAAUGGUGUUGUAUAUAACUACUUAAAUAGGCUUAUCACUGACAACGUGGGAUUCAGGCUUUUCGGCUGUGCGGUUAAGCUUGCUGUGUCUAUUUGGCUGGGCCUACUUGGAAUUAGAGUUCAGGAGAGCACUUUGAAGCUUUUGGUAUGCCAGGGAAACAUAUAGAUUUGAUUUGUAAAAUGUUAUUUUCUGCUGACACUGGUAGUAGCAUUGAAGUACUACUAUUGCCAGCAAAAUACUAAUUUAUAUUCUCCAAUGCAGAUGCACUGUAAAGUCUCCAAGUCAAUCUGCCAUGGAUACUAUAAUAGCAAAGGGUAAAAGUGCAAAAAAGCCCCUCGUGGUUGCUGGAUGUGUGCCCCAAGGUAGUCGAAAUUUGAAAGAACUAGAAGGAGUCAGUAUAGUUGGAGUGCAGCAAAUAGACCGUGUAGUUGAAGUUGUUGAAGAGACUCUAAAAGGUCAUGAAGUGCGGCUUUUAACCCGCAAGACAUUGCCAGCACUCGACCUCCCAAAGGUGCAAACUUAGUUCCAGAUACACACUGUGGCAUUAACAUUUCAUGUGUUCACUAUGGCUGUUUAGUGGAACCACAUCCUACUCUCUCUCUCUCUCUCCCUCCCCUUCCUGCCUUCUGUCUCUCUCUCUCUUUGCUCCUUACAAAUGUAUGACAUUUCUAAUUCACUUUGAAUCACCAACUAUUCUUAGAGAUGAAGUAUAAUUCUUCUUUUCUUUGCAUGUAUUUCACUUGAUCUCCCAACAGGUUCGAAAGAACAAGUUUGUGGAGAUUCUUCCAAUUAAUGUUGGUUGUUUAGGGGCUUGCACUUACUGCAAGACAAAGCAUGCCCGUGGUCAUCUAGGGAGCUACACUAUUGACAGCCUUGUAAGUUUAUGGCAGAAAAAACUGUUAUAUUUUCCUAUUUGAUUUUCUGUUAUUAAAAUUUAAUUGUGCAGGUAGGGCGUGUAAGAACAGUUGUAGGUGAUGGAGUAAAAGAAAUAUGGUUGAGCAGUGAAGAUACUGGAGCAUAUGGUAGUUUACUUUGACCUUUCUGUUGUAACGUUUGCUUUUUGCUUAUCUGAAUUUACUUUAAAAGUUCUUGUUUCUUAAAAGGAAUCCUCUGAGCAAAGCUUUCACAAGGAAUCCUCUUACAUAGAAUUUUUUUUCCCCGCACAUGCGCAUUAAGAACAAUAACUCUGUUUAUACAGCAUCACUCUUAUUUUCAUACAGAUCAAAGAUAAGUUGACAACAAUGUGACUUUUAAAGUAUAUUCUAUGGAAAGUACAAAUUGUGUUUAUACAACAUCACUAUUCAUUUCUUAUAGAUUAGAGAUAUGAUAACGGCGAUGUGUCGUUUUGAAGUAUAUUCUCUAUAGAGAUUACAAGUGAAUUAUCCACCAACUAGCAAGGUGGUAAAACAAAAAUUAUUAUAAAUUCACAGUGUUGAUAUCAUUUGGAAAGGUAUUGGUGUUUGGCACGAAAAAUUUGUUUCAGAACUCCAAAAAAUAACUUAGAGUUAGAGUGAUGCUUUUGAAAUAUAAAUUAAUCUGUAAUUUUCUAUAGUAUGCAAGUCCUUUGAACACUUUUAGGUUUCUUGAAAUCUUGCAGGUCGUGAUAUUGGGGUCAAUCUUCCACGUUUAUUGAAUGCUAUUGUUUCUGAACUUCCUGCUGAUGCAAGCACAAUGCUCCGUAUCGGGAUGACAAAUCCUCCUUUUAUUCUUGAGCACUUGAAAGAGAUAGCAGAAGUUUUGCGUCACCCAUGUGUAUAUUCUUUUCUUCAUGUACCAGUGCAAUCUGGGAGUGAUAAUGUUUUAAAUGUAAGUCAAAAAGCUAUUUUUAAACUCAGUCUUCCUUUACAUCCAAUUUUACUCUGAAAAGAAAUUGCAAUAUACAAUUUAUAUAAGGCUGCUGCCAGAGAAGCCCAACCAUAUGGCUGCUUUUUUGUUUCAGGCAAUGAAUCGAGAAUACACUGUGAGCAAUUUCAGGACAGUGGUUGAUACCUUAACUGAACUGGUUCCAGGGAUGCAAAUUGCCACCGACAUAAUAUGUGGUUUCCCAGGUUAGUUUCUGGAUGAAAUAUUCACUUCACAGACCUUUAUAUGUCACGUAAUAAUAAAGUUUUCACAUCACUAAUCUGCAAAUUCCUCAAAUCAUAGAAUAGAGACUUUUGCUUUACUGGUUGCAUGAGAAGGAAUCCAGCUUAAGCAAGUAAUGUAUAAUUCUUCCAUGGACAUUUGUAUUUCUAGGUGGGGAUUGUAUAUCACAGAGAAAAAAAUGGAGUAUGGAACUUAGCUGCUUCUUCUUCUUCUUCUUCUUUUCUUUUUUCAAAUUUUUUUUCUCUCAGUAAUCCAGGGGCAGUUGAACUUAAUUUUACUUGGUUGUUUUCAAUGUAAGAGGGCAAGGGUAAUGUUAAAGUUGCUCCCUUAUGACUGAAAGGUCACAGGUUUAAAUCAUAGAAACAGCCCUUUAGCCGAAAAAAAAAAAAAAAGAAAGAGUCUACAUAUGAUAGACGACCCUCCUCCUUUGCUAAGAGGGAGCCUUAUGCACUGUGGGCACUCUUUUCUUAAUUAUUAUUGUUGUCAAUGUAUGUUGGAGAAAAAGAAGCUUCAAUCAUUUUUCCUUUUCUUUUCACUUUAUAACUUCAAUUGGAAAAAUCCAGGAACUAAAGAAGUCUUAAUGGCUUAUUUAUAGCAUUUUAUGUAAUAAGGUUUCAGUUGAAUGGUUCUUAGGAUAUGGCACUGAUUUCUUGGGUUUCUUAGGUGAAACGGAUGAUGAUUUUGCUCAAACUGUCAGCCUUAUUAAUGAAUACAAACUCCCUCAAGUUCAUAUAUCACAGUUUUAUCCUAGACCAGGUACGUUGUGUAUGAUUUUCAACUUCAUUCAUAGAUAUAAAAUGCUAAGCCUUUUUUAUGCUCUCUCUAAUACAGUGGGUUCUCGCAAGAUUUUUGUAGCACUCAAAAUGUGUGUAUUAAAUUGUUUAGGCAUACAAGCUUCUUUGUAUCAUAUAGACCUUUAGGACAAUCUGAAUAUCCUAUGAAACAUGCCUGCUUUAGAACUAAUUUACUCUCCUUUUAGAUAUAAAUCCUUGCAAGAGCAAAGCUUAAAAUUGGAGAAAAUUAUAAUAAACUGUGCUGUUUCUUGUGUGCGCAUCUUGGUAGUUCACCUAUUCUAAAGUUUGCUUUUGAAUUUUGCAAGUCAUAUAGGCAGUAUCAUUUUUUACUUCGCUUCAAUGCAAGGAGGAAAAACUUGCACAUUUGUGCAUGCUGAACUUUUUAACUUGACUAUGAUUAUCUGUCAGCUCUACCAUUAUGGGCUUGAACCUAGUGGUUUGACUGUACAAAUCUUCUGCCAUUUCAUUUUUUGCUGCUUCUGAAUCCAGGAACUCCUGCUGCAAGGAUGAAAAAGGUUCCAAGUAACAUAGUGAAGAAACGGAGCCGUGAAUUGACUGCUGUUUUUGAAGCUUUCACUCCAUAUAAUGGAAUGGAGGGUAGAGUGGAAAGAAUAUGGAUAACUGAAAUAGCAACUGAUGGAAUUCACUUGGUGAGUCUGUUAACUUCAGUAUCUAAGAUAAACACAGUUGCCUUUAUAUUUAGGUAUGUCAUUUACUUGUGAGGUUAAGUUGCUGAUUUCAGUUUGCUAUCCAGUAAAUAAAGUUAGUUGGUUGUGACUUGUGAGAGACUGUAUUUUGUGCCCAAUGGCUGUUCUGGCAUGCAUCUCAUUUUCUAUUGAAACCAAUAGGUAUACAUUGUCAAAAUGAGCUUAUAAUUUAUGUCCCAUAUGAAAGAAUGUUCCCUUCUCCCCAAAUUCAUACUUAGCAUGAAUAGAAUGAUAAGGAAGAACUUGUAUUAAUGAUCUUGAGAUAUGUUGGUAUGAUUUUACCAUCACUGUAUGACAAUGUACUAGAGCUUUGUGGAGAAACCUCUUAUUUCUACUAAUUAGUCAUUCCUUUACUUCCCUAGGUUGGCCAUACAAAGGGAUAUGUGCAGGUGCUUGUGAUUGCUCCAGAAACCAUGCUGGGAACCUCGGCUAUUGUUAAGAUAACGUCUGUUGGAAGGUGGUCUGUUUUUGGAGAAGUGAUCCAGACUCUCAACCAAACAAAUAGGGGAGUGGCUUCUGCCGAAAAAAUGCCUAGUGGGGGCAAAUAUUCUCCCUGCUCUGACCCAUGUGAAACUUGUGCAUGUUCAAAAGAGCCAGAGUCUUGUGCUUGCGGACCAGAGAGUUGUGGAGGACAGAAUCCUUUGGAAGAAAGUGCCAUUGCACAGAAUGAUAUGCUGCUGGAAGAUCGAAAUAGAAGAAAUCUAAUAGGAUGGUUAUUAAGAAAGCGAAAAAACCAAACACAGAAAAUAGUGGAGAAUAAUAUUGCCUUGGAAUCCAUAAAAAAGCAAGAGUGGACCAAAGGAACCUUUAGUAUGUGGGGCGCUGUCGAUAGGGCUCUCCUCGGAGGAAUGCUUGUCAGCUUAGUAACAAUUGUAGCUCUACUACUACAUCUUGGUUUUAGGACUACCUCAACCAAGUAAACUGUACUUUCUUUUAAGUUUUACCUGUCCAAUUUUUGAGAGAGGAUUCUUAUGAAAGAUUCAAGAACAUGCCAGGAAAGUUUUUGGUCGUAAUACUGAUACUAAAAUUGUAUUUUUCUGCACAAUCAUUACUAAGAUGUGGCUUCAUUGAUUUGGAUUUUUGGUUUCGGAUAACCACAAAAAGCAUUGAUUCUUGUUUAGCUACAAUGAUAUUUGUUACACGCAGUUUGUUCUAAACAAAUAUGAUAUUGUGCUUUGCACAUUUUCCAACCACUCCCUUAUCAGCUUAUCUUCUUGACAAUAUCUAUUAUUUGUGAAAUGCAGAAUAUUAUUCCUCAGCAAUAUUACAGAAUAUGGAAUAUAGAGCCAAAAAGAAUGGUGGGGUGACAUACAUGAGAUUCAAAAAGGUAGGAUAUGCAUAUUUAGCGAAAAGUGAGAUUCUUUUGCAGGUUGGUGUAGCAGGAAGGAAAGGUGCAUUGUUGCUUUUCUUUUUCUGUCUUCUGCUGCUAUGACACUGACGAAUGUUUAUUUACUUACUCACCCUUCCUUGAAAAUAAUUAGCCGAAUGAAUGUAUUAUUGAUAAUAAUUUGCAGCUCAUAGUAACAUAUCUGACUUGGAUGGUAAUCUCUUGAAGAAGUUGACAGGCACAGAGGGCAUCUUGCCCCUGAACCGGGGAUGUCGCAACAAAUACAGUCCGACCAGUACGGCCACAACCUGGAAUGGAGUAAUGUAAAUGAACACAGCCCAGAUCAAUGAAAAGAUUAUGAAGAUGGCUGUAGCCCUUGGAUCUCGCCAGCUCAGUAUUGCUUGAGCUCUUUCCCCUUGACUUGCCAAGUCCCCAACUACUGUCUGUACUCUGCCUGCAACACUUCUCAGCCUAUCAUAUCUCAUCCUCACAAUAUCUGCUGGUCUUGAUGUUGGGAAUGAGUCGAACUCCUCGUCAAGCUCAUCUGGGUGCACUGUGUCAGCUUGCGAAAGCCGAAUAUCCAUGUGAGAUGGGUGUCUAGGCCUGAACCUAUAGUUCCAUACUCCAAUGACAAACAGGUAAAGGAAGAUGGUGGGAAGAAUCAAUUCUGGAUAGCAAACCAGUAUCAAGAACAGUACAUGCACGAGACAGGUUGUUACUGGAUUUCUCCAAGUGCAAAUAUCAUUAAACCAUUUAAAGACAGCUGCAACCCCUGAAAGCAGCGACAUUAUGCGGGCGAAAUUUGCUUUGCUUCUUCUCAAACUCCACAUAUGGUAAUCCACAUCCAACAUAUACUCAACAGCUUCACGCCUGAGUGGUGGCUCAGCUCUUGUUAGCCUUGCUGCCACUAUCUGCAUUGCUUGGUGGCGAAGCCAAUCAAUGUGCCUAACAGAAAUUGGUUGGAUGUAAUGCAUUUUGGGAAGCAAUGGCUUGCCAUAUUGAGUCACCAUAUUAACCCAAGCUGUGCAGGUGAACCUCAAUGCCAAUUGAAUUUCCCCAUGCUUUUUUAAUCCCCCAGCAGGUUGAAGAACUAACAGAGGAUAAUAAUGUGUAUAAAUACGAUCAGUUUCUAAAGUCGAAAGACGGAUUCUCACCUUUCCAAUUCUCUUAUCCUUAGCGUCCUCCUUGCUUCCACUAAUGUGGCAGUUGUCAAAAACGCCAAUGGUGAUCACAGUGCAAGGAUCAAAAACAUCCCAAGUAUACUGCUCAUUCCAACGAGGAUUUAGAUUGUCAAGAAGUGUUCUGGUUCGAACCCAUUUAUUACCAUACUUGGCCACACAAUAUGCAUCGGUAGCCUUGCUCUUCAAGGGCAGCAAAUUUCUUGCACUCAAGAUCCCAAGUUCAAGAAUUCCAAUUCUUUCUUUCCUUAAGAACUUGGACGAUGGCUGUAGAUCACUGCUAAAAUGAGUAGACUCAUCAAGAACAUGAUAUCCUGUGUCUAAACAGAGACACAGCAGAAUCUUGCUAGAGAAUUUUUCUUUCUUCUUCUCCCCUUCCUCCUCUGCCAAUGAAGGCUUGAAGAGAUUGAACCAACGAGGAUCCGGGAGUUUCGCAGUCUCUCUUCUUGGUGGAACUUCUCUAACUGGUAUAAUCACUCUUCCCAUGAUCUCAUCCUUGCCAGGUCCAACCCUGUCCUCAACACUCACAAUUAUGUAAUCCUCAAAAGGCUCAGAUGCUACAAACAUAAGCUCUUCAUUCCAACCUGGAUUGAUGCUUCGCGCAGGUCUAGUGACUCUUCCCUGAUUCCCAAGUUGAACCUUCACAUAUACAUCAGGCGCUCGACCCUUUUCCGAGGGGAAAAGAUCUUGAGCUUCCAUGACAUGAACUCGAAGAUAAUAUAAUUUCGGCGAAAAAUAUACCUUUGAUCUAGUAUCAGCCAAGUUUGUAUGACCAAUAUCAUGAGCAUCGUUAUGCCAUGCCUCAGGAAAUGAUUCAUCAGCUUGUGUUCCCAUCCAAACUGCAAGCAUAAUUUCCCCCUUAGUCUUGUCACCCUUCUUGUCUUCCAAUUUAUACCAUUGAGGAGCCAGUGGACUAUCAGGUGGAACACGAAGAGGAACUUCAGAUAGAUCAAAAGGAAUUCUACCCACAAAAUCAUCCUUAACAAAAUCCUUAUCUUUCACAGUAACUUCAAGUAAAUUGGCCUGCAAUCUAUCCUUUGAGAAAGCAAAAAUUUGAUUCCACACUGGAUGCUGGUUCUUCUCCAAGUGUUUAGUCCUGCCUUUAUAAUUCCCAAGCUUCACUUCCACAUAUGGAUCAAGACUACCAGUAACAUCCAUAACUGGAAGAUCUCUAGCUUUAACCACACUCACAUACAAGUAAUGCAUCUGCUCAACCAAAUCAUAAGUACUUGUGGUCUUGUCUCCACCUCUGUAUCGCAGACGAGCAGCCACUGGCGGGCGAGUCUCCACCAGUAAAUAUUCUGGAUUCUGCCUAGGAACUUGCAUAUGCAUAACAGUAGCUGGCCCUGCUCUAGCAAAAUCAGUUCUUGCCUCAACUGUAGGUGCCUUUUCCCUCAUUACAUGAGUCUCGAACCCGAAUCCGAACCCAGAAGACAUGGGAGCAGGAGCUGGAGCAGGAGCAGGAGGAUGAUGAUAAUGGGCGGGACCUCCACCAGUUGCAGUCGUCCCUAUAGAGUAAAAAGUCCUCACUUCUUUUUCUUUUUUCUUCUUGGUUUUCUUUUCAGCAGCAGCCAUAAUAUCUUCUUCAAGCUGCUUGUCGGUAUUGAUUUCUUGAACAGGAGUAGCUUCAGUUUCAAUAUUGACAGCAUUGUGUUGCUGUUGAGGAUGAGAAAGAGGAGGAGGAGGAGGAUAGUAAUUAUUACCAUUACCAUCAAAAACUGCAUAAAUCUUGAGCGCUAUAUCACCUCUGAUAUUAGAAAACAGGCCACGUUUUUCAAGUGGGCAUCUCUGGACAUUAGCUUCAGACUCAGAUAAAGGGACAGAAAAACCAGAAAUUCUAACACGACCCAGGAAGUUCUUGUCAUGACCAGGAUCACCUUUUCGAUCAUGGUAAAGAUUAACUUCAAUGGUCUUGUUAGGAAGAUCUCUUGGAUUGUUUACAUUGAAAACAAGCUUUUCAUUCCAGCAAGGACUGAGGUCUUUAGGUUUGGUUUGAGUUCUCUGUCUCUGCUCAUCAAAGUCUACUUGUACAAAAGGAUUAGAAGAACCCUGACCAUCUUUGGGCAUAAGAUCACUUGCAUCAAGAACUUCUACUAUUAGUUUGGUCAUGGUGGAAUUAAGGGAAGCCUUAGAAAAAGAAAAAAGAAAAAGGAAAAGAAAAAAAUGGGUUAUGCUAUAUCUUUCUAAGGAACUAUUUCACACCUAACAAAAAAAAGAAUCAGGGGAAAGAGAUGUGGUGGGUAGUGAAAAGAGUAGGAUUGAAGAAGAAGACAGAACUAUGGUGUUAGGAGAAGAGGGAAGAGAGGUGUAAAGAAGAGUGGAGAGUGAAGAUGAGGUGGUCAUUUUAGAGUGUGAAGACAGAAACCAUAUGCAAAAAUUAAAAAAGAAAAAUAGAGAAAGAGAAAAAAAUGUUAUUUUAGUGUGAAGGUGGCCCCCUGAAGCCAUAUAUCUCUGAUAGAGGGAGAUUCUGAUGGCUACAUGUGUUUUAUUCAGAAUGAGGGAGAUAAAGUCUUGCUUUUUUUUUAUUUUUUGGGUAAUUCUUAAAUAAAAUGAGUUGGCAAAUGUAAAUUUAUAAGGAGUAACUUUUUUUACUUAAUGUGAACAUCCCAAUAAAUACAGAAAUAAUAAAUAUACAUAAAUUUAAUUAAUAUAUACUCAAUUAUAUAAAAUUAAUAAAUAUAUACUAAUUAUCUAUUAAUUUAAUAUAUUGAUAAGAAUAUAUAUUUAAAUCAAAUUAAAUUUUUUAUUGUAAAAUAAAUAAUUAAGUAUAUUAGUAGCAGAAUUUAAUGGACACAAUGCUUAGAUAGGAAGAGAAGAUAAUAAUAAUAAUAAGUUGAAAGUGAUCAUCAAUUGUUUGAUGAAAGCCUAAAAAGUUAAUUUGAAAAGCAAUCUUAUAUAUCCUUUAAUAGGAUCUCUCCUUUUCAAGGAAUUAGGCAGAAGAUCCAUUAUUAUUAUUAAUAACUGUGGGAGGGGGCUGUCUACUCCUAUUGUCUAAAAGGUCACCAAUUCCAUAAAUCCCCCACCUUUUCUAAUCAGCAAAUCAGAUUGAUUCUCUUUUCCCAUUACAGUCACUUUUCAACCCUUUUUUUUUUCUUUAAAAAAAUUAAAAAUAAAAUUGUACUCUGCUAAUUUCACAGUUUAAUGCUUUUACAUCUGUGUUUUUUUCUUCUCAAUUUGAUCCCAUGUGAUUUUUUAUUUUAUUUAAGAAAUGAAUGAUAAAUAAUAAUUUUAGAAAAUAAAAUUAUAUUAUUUUUUAUUCUAUCCUCUUGAAUUCAUCAAUAUGAUAAAGUUGAAAUUUAAGAUAUCUAUCUUCUAAAUUCCUAUUUCCUUUUCAAACAAAAAGCUUUUAUAAAACCCUUAAAAAUACUCCCAUCCAAACAGUCCAUAAAAACCUUUGGAGCCAUCAAUUUCAAAACAUGACACUAAGUUCAAGAAUUCUUUCUCAUUGUUAUGAACUCAGCAAGCCUAAUUCUUUGACUUAAAGGUUAGAAAGUUAUGGCAACACAACAACCAGGUUUCCUGUGGCAGUAUACUGAUCAUAUCAUCUGAAUAAAUUCUUUUCUAAAAGAAAAGAAAGAAGAUAUUUUUUAUGAAUAUAUUUGGAAUUAAUAUAUUAAUAUAUUAAAGUAGAAAGAAAGAUGAUUUCUUUUUAUAAAAUGUCAAAUAAAUCACCAUAUUUUUUAAAAACAAAAGCAUUGAACCAGCUAUCUCAAUUUUCAAUAUUAAAUCACAGAUUUGAUAAUAAAUAUUAAAAAAUAAAUUUUUUUCUAAAAAAAAAAGAAAGAAGAUAUUUUUUAUGAAUAUAUUUGGAAUUAAUAUUUAUUUUAUCAAUAAGUAUAAUUAACAUAUUAGUAUAUUAAGUUGGAGAAAAAUUAAUUUCUUUUUAUAAAAUAAAAAAUAAAUCAUCAAAUUUUUAAAAGAAAAGAAUCUCGAACCAGCAAUUUUAAUUUUUAAUAUUAANNNNNNNNNNNNNNNNNNNNNNNNNNNNNNNNNNNNNNNNNNNNNNNNNNNNNNNNNNNNNNNNNNNNNNNNNNNNNNNNNNNNNNNNNNNNNNNNNNNNNNNNNNNNNNNNNNNNNNNNNNNNNNNNNNNNNNNNNNNNNNNNNNNNNNNNNNNNNNNNNNNNNNNNNNNNNNNNNNNNNNNNNNNNNNNNNNNNNNNNNNNNNNNNNNNNNNNNNNNNNNNNNNNNNNNNNNNNNNNNNNNNNNNNNNNNNNNNNNNNNNNNNNNNNNNNNNNNNNNNNNNNNNNNNNNNNNNNNNNNNNNNNNNNNNNNNNNNNNNNNNNNNNNNNNNNNNNNNNNNNNNNNNNNNNNNNNNNNNNNNNNNNNNNNNNNNNNNNNNNNNNNNNNNNNNNNNNNNNNNNNNNNNNNNNNNNNNNNNNNNNNNNNNNNNNNNNNNNNNNNNNNNNNNNNNNNNNNNNNNNNNNNNNNNNNNNNNNNNNNNNNNNNNNNNNNNNNNNNNNNNNNNNNNNNNNNNNNNNNNNNNNNNNNNNNNNNNNNNNNNNNNNNNNNNNNNNNNNNNNNNNNNNNNNNNNNNNNNNNNNNNNNNNNNNNNNNNNNNNNNNNNNNNNNNNNNNNNNNNNNNNNNNNNNNNNNNNNNNNNNNNNNNNNNNNNNNNNNNNNNNNNNNNNNNNNNNNNNNNNNNNNNNNNNNNNNNNNNNNNNNNNNNNNNNNNNNNNNNNNNNNNNNNNNNNNNNNNNNNNNNNNNNNNNNNNNNNNNNNNNNNNNNNNNNNNNNNNNNNNNNNNNNNNNNNNNNNNNNNNNNNNNNNNNNNNNNNNNNNNNNNNNNNNNNNNNNNNNNNNNNNNNNNNNNNNNNNNNNNNNNNNNNNNNNNNNNNNNNNNNNNNNNNNNNNNNNNNNNNNNNNNNNNNNNNNNNNNNNNNNNNNNNNNNNNNNNNNNNNNNNNNNNNNNNNNNNNNNNNNNNNNNNNNNNNNNNNNNNNNNNNNNNNNNNNNNNNNNNNNNNNNNNNNNNNNNNNNNNNNNNNNNNNNNNNNNNNNNNNNNNNNNNNNNNNNNNNNNNNNNNNNNNNNNNNNNNNNNNNNNNNNNNNNNNNNNNNNNNNNNNNNNNNNNNNNNNNNNNNNNNNNNNNNNNNNNNNNNNNNNNNNNNNNNNNNNNNNNNNNNNNNNNNNNNNNNNNNNNNNNNNNNNNNNNNNNNNNNNNNNNNNNNNNNNNNNNNNNNNNNNNNNNNNNNNNNNNNNNNNNNNNNNNNNNNNNNNNNNNNNNNNNNNNNNNNNNNNNNNNNNNNNNNNNNNNNNNNNNNNNNNNNNNNNNNNNNNNNNNNNNNNNNNNNNNNNNNNNNNNNNNNNNNNNNNNNNNNNNNNNNNNNNNNNNNNNNNNNNNNNNNNNNNNNNNNNNNNNNNNNNNNNNNNNNNUUUUCUCUUUGUCCGUUUGUUGUUUGAUUGUAUUAUUUUGUGAGCAUCUUUGAAGAUGUGUCCAAAGGUGCCCCAACUUUUUCAAAGCUCUUUUGCUCAUCUUGUAAUGGAACAAUCUAUGGAUGGGAUUUUAUGUGUAGCUUGCAUUUUUAUAUAAUACUUUACCGACAAGUGCAAAAUUUUGGUAUAGCCAUUCAUCAUUAUCAUCAUCCAUACUUUAGUAAGGUCAAUUUGCAAGACUCUUUUGAUUUAUAUUAACUACGAGUAAUCACUUGUUAUUUACACUCAUUCUCAUUAAGUAAGGUAAUGAAAGAUACUUUUAGGAAUUAUCUAAUUUUAUAAUUAAAAAUGGGUCGAGGAGGGAGGGCAAGCUCGAUUCGCCUCAGCACCAGACUCAGAAUCAGAAGCUUGAGCAAGCAUAUGAGUAACUGGGUUCGCUGAUCUUUAACAAACGUGAAACACAAUUGAUAAUUUUUAUUUUUUCUUGGAUGCUCCCACCUUUAGAGAGACUAUCUAACAGUUGCAACAUCUAGCAUAAUUCAAAUAAAAUAAAGGGUCUGCUUUAUAAUUAAUAUUUUUGUUUGUUUUUUCAUGGGAUUAGGAGUAGGGCUGCAGAAGGACAUUGGUACAAAAUUGUGAGGGAAAAGGAUCCAAAAGAAAAUAUGUAGGACAGAGUAGAGUGCAGUGGUGCGAAGGAGAGUCAGCCAUGGAGGGCAGUGAGUGGAGGAGAUGGCUAUUUGCAAGAUUCUAAUGGAUUGAUUGUUGACCUAUGGUUGUGCUUCUAAAUUCCCUAGGAAAGGAUGGUGAUUUCAGCCACCCAUGAGUUUGUUACUGUGGCCAGUACCCUUGUGCCUAACACAGAUUUUAUUUUACCAUUUUUUUUUUUUUUUUUAAAUUCUUGAGAAAAUGAUAAGUGAAAACUGAAUGCCUUUUUCUUUUGUUUUUUGAACUGGUAUAAAUUGAAUAGCUGAUCUCUUGGAUUAAAAAAAAUAUAGAUACAUGCUUCAUAAAUAGGCUAUCUAUUUUAAUAAUGAUAACAGUUAAAAUUGAGUUAAUCAUAUAAUAGCCAUUGAAUUUCACGCGUAAUUUUAUUUUUAUCAUAAAAUUUUAAUUUAUUUUAAUUUUAGUUAUAAUUUAGCUAUUUUUCUGAUAAAUAAUUGAUAUGUUAUACUUGAUGAUUAUUUUUUCAUUGGCGGUUUUUGUUACAUUUCCAUUUUUUAAUAACAAAAUAAUUAAAUUGAAAUACAGUUAAAUUAAAAAUAAAUAAUUGUCCUGUUAAAAUUAUACAAUUCAGCUCAUCAAUGUCCUCUUCAUUAAAACUUUAUUAAUCUAACAAGAUUAAGUUAUCAUUUAGGGAGAACAUAUUUAUUUAUUCAUUAGAACAAGAUAAUCAGUGUGUGACCAACUGAGAAAGAAUAGAAGCUUUCAGCAAAGCGUUCCAUAGUAAUAGUUUCCCUUUCAAUUUCAAUGGUUCUUUGAUCCGACUUUAAAAUUAGUGGUUUCAAACUGAAUUCAACAAAAUAAUAAUAUAAUAAAUAGUAACUUAAUAAAUACAUAAAGAAUAAGAAAAUUUAUAAUUGAUACUACGAAAAAAUAAUAUUUCUUUUCUCGUAACAGAUGGGUCAAUUUAACAAUUCUGUUAUAACCGUCUAAUAGUUUUAGAAACGCAUACUUGUCUAAAUUCUAUAACGUCAUUGCAGGAUUUUAGUUAUGUUUAUAUAAUUUUAGGGUUUAUCCGAUUCCUAAUAAGUUCUUGAUCGCAGGAUGAAACUUUAAUUUUUUGUACCUUUUUUGAGGUUUACAACUUUUUUCAGAAUUUCUAUUUCUUAUUUCGAUUUAUAUUUAAGAGUUUUGACAUGUUUUUAUGAUCCUAUCCUAUUAAAUAUUUUAGUCCAAUAAUAAAACGAGAUUACUUUAGAAUUAAAUAUUAGGUUCAAAUCUCAACAAACUCAAAUAAAUGCAUAGAAGAUUGAUAAAAUAAAAUUUUCAUCUUUAUUUUAUUAUUUAUUACUAUAGUUUAAUUUCACACUUCUUUUUUAUCUAUGAUUAGACGAGUGAUAUAUAUAUAUAAUUAUUAUAGAAUUUAAAAUAUAUAUUAUUUUCUUAUUUUUUAAAUAUUUAAAAUAGUGAAGUCCCUUUUACUAUUUCCAUCUAAUGUUUCUCUCCAUUCCCAAGUAAUGAAGCAAAUCAAUUUGUGAAAGAAAACACAAACACAUUGUUGUUUUAAAUCAUUAAGUAUUUAAUUUGCAUGUACUCAACCUUCUGCAAAUAGAACAGUAAGUGGAUCAUGAUGCUGUUUUAGUCUUCUAAAACUAACUUACAUUUCCAUUAAUGAAGAUUACAUAUUAGGCAUUAUUUGGUGUACAAUACCAACCUUUUGGAAAUUUAUUUUUUAAAACUUAAACUCUUACAAAAGAUUUUUUUUUUUUUUUCAGAAAAUUAGAAAUUAAACAUAUUUGAUAUAUUAUUUAACUUUCUAGAAAAUACCAACUUUGUUGGCUUAUUCAUGUCUUUAUCUCAUAACAAAUAUGAUUUAUAUAUCAUUAAUUAGUUUAUAAAUAGUUUUAAAUAUAUAAUAGUAACACAUUUGGGCUCUUAUUAAUACAGGACGCGAUAUUAGAUAAAAAUAUUAAUAAUUUAUAUUAUUUUAGAAAACACAAUUAAUUAUUUAUUUAUUCAUUUUAUUUUUAAGUUUCACCAAAUUACUAGGAUAAAUAAAUCAAUAGAUAAUAAUAUAUAAUUAAUGUUUGUUUAACAAUAAUAAUUAGAUACUUAUGUACCGCCACAUGGAAUAACAAAAUGAUGAAGUAUUUAUUAUAAUUCUAAAUCAUCUGUUCUUCAUAAUGAUAAUAAUAAUGAUUGAGUUGGGUGGAACUGGCAACUCAAACUCGGCCCGACCAUGUGUGAAUUGGGCAAAUAAAAUAUAUAAAAAUAAUAAUAAUAUUAAUUUAAUAGCAACAGAAGAAAAAUAAAACAAAAAUAAAAAAUUUGUAUUGGUAUUGUAAAUUUGUAAUAUAAACAGAAUAGGAAUAUACAGAAUGCAGAAAGUGUAAGAUGCAUGUGUUUGCUUUAUUAUUAUUAUUAUUAUUAUUAUUAUUAUUAUUUGUGAUGGGUAUAUUUGUUUGUAGCAUAUUGUACCCACAUGGAAGUGCACAUGCCAGCUUUAUGUUCCUCCAUUUUACUAAUCACAGUCCUUUUCAUAAGAAAAAACAAUAGUAACUUCACCAAAAGCUUUUUCUUUUUCAAGAAGAGAAGGAAGAGGAAGAAGAUAACAGUAGCAACAUUAUGCAACUUUGUUUUUUAUUACAUUUUUCAAUGUGGUUGGUCCCCAUCUACCACAUACAUAUAAUUGCCACUCCAUCACUUAGAAUUAGUAGAUUUCAUAUCCAAUUUAAAAUUCAUUAUUUUUCAUUUGAUAAUGUAAAUUAAUGAUUUACGGGAUAAUAAUACAAAUGGUCGUUUUAUAAAAUUUUAAUAAUUCAAUUUCAGUUUUGAUUGCAAUUUAGUUAUUUUAUGAAUAAAAGAUUAACAUAUCAUAUUUUUCUUAUUUAAUUGUAAAUUUUUGUCACGUGUCAAUCUUUUAUUUGUAAGGUGACUAAAUUUAAAUAAAAUUAAAGUUUGAUGACUGAAACGAAACAAAUUAAAAUUUUAUGACUAAAUAUAAAAUUUAAUGACCAUUUAUAUUAUUAUCCUAUAAAUUUGCAUAAAAAUUAUUAUUUGCUAUAAUAAGGGAUUCCAUAUUCAUAUGUUUUAAUCAUAUACAUAUUUUAAUUUUUAUAUAUGAAAGUAAGAAAAUAUUAUGAAGUGAUUUUAUUUUAAUAUAUUUUACUAGCAAAUGUUUUAAACACAAUAUAAGGUAUGUUACACAUAUUGACACACAAAGAGAUGGGGAUGAACUAGCUUUUGGAUUAGUCCUUUAAUAUUGUUGUUCCAAUACAGAUUAUAUAUCCACAGACAAAAGACAUUGAAUUUAUAAUUUAAUCAAAAAGGAUCUUUUUAUAGCAGACUAUCAAAAUUAUAUAAUAAUAAAAAUAAAAAAAGCUUUUGCUUUAGAGACAUGCAGUCUCAUGGAAAAAGGCUUCUAUCUAAUAUGUGAUGAGCUGUCAUGAAAUGAUAUUUUAAUAUAAUUAUGUGUUAAAAUACUAGUUUAUAGCUUCUUUUUUUAAUAUUUCAUCAAUGUGAUAUGCAAAUAGAUACCCAUUUCUACAAGUAGUAUGUCACUGUGUCUGUCCGUACUGUGCGGACGGCUUGAUGGUCUCUCAGCUUAUUUUAGAUUUAUAGAGAGAUUUAUGUGGUGCCUUUUAGAUACUCAGACCACCAAAUUUAAUAGAUGAUUGAUAUAUAUUUAUUAAUUUAAAAUAAUUAAAUAUAUAUUAAUUAUUAAAUAGUAAAAUAUAAAAUAUUUAUAUAAAUAUGUUACUGUUUUGUUAGUUAUCGCAUGUAGAUCAAGUUUAGAAGAGACCAAAUGAUACAAAAGAGAUCCUAUAAAAUUCUGACUUUGAUUCAAUUUUCAAACUAACAAAAUUUGCAAUAUGUUAAUCUCAUCCUCACCUAUGGACUCAAAAAGGAAAGAACAAAAAACCAUUGAUUUUUUAUUAGUUUUAAAAGGAAAAUUCAAUUCAAUAGAAGUCGAGAAUAUAUUUAUUUUCAUUUUCUUAUUAAGAGUAUAAUGCGUUAUAAACUAUAUAAUAUGAAUAAAUAGUCAACUCGAUACUUUAUAAUUUUAUAAGUCAGAAUGAUAGCAUUAAAUAUAAUACAAUUGGACAUAAUAUUUAANNNCCCUAAUUCAAAUGGCCUGUUUUUGUUUACCUGUUGACAAAUCUGUGUUAAUGCACAUGGGUAUGCCUCCUGCCUUACACAACCAUAAAUUUUCCUUUGCCUUAUUAGUUGGUGUUAUUGGGCAUUUGGGCAUUUUAUUUGUUAAGUGUUCUUUUCCACUUAAGCUUACUAAUGAACUAAAACUUUUGGAGUUAGUGUUGUAGUGGAAUUGUGUUAGUAUACUGGUCUCAGUCUUUGCGAAUAUGAUCCUAAUACCUAAUCAAUUACUUAAAAUUAAUCAAUACGUAUCAUUUAUUUAUCUGUUUAAUUAUUUUAUUGUAUAAAUAGAUACAUAUACUUACACUAAAUAAAAGAAAUUUAUGUUAGUUUUUCUUCUUUUUAACUUUGGCUUCCUUUCACUCUUCCUUACUCCACCAACAAGAAGUCAGUUGUAAUUUCCUUUUGCUGCCCCCCUCUCAUUAACUCUCCCUUUAACCUCCUUUGUCUCUUCUCCCUUUCAUCCUUUACCUCAUUCCUUAUUUUACCCAUAACCAACUUUCUUUUCCUCUCUCCCUCAUAGUAAUUAUACAUUUUCUUAGUUGGGAAAUUGUCUUUGUCAUUACCAUUGGAGGCAAGCAGGUUAAGAGAGUGAUUAUUAGGGAUAAUCAUUUUAGUAUAGAUACUUUAUAUUUUAAAUAAGAAAAAGAAUUUUUAGAUUGACUUAAUCUACUAGUCAUUUAUAGAUAAAUUAGAAGUAAUUCUUACUUAUACUAAAUAUAUACCGCAACGAAUAAGAAAUAAAUAGUAUAUAUGAGUAUUUGAUACUUUAAUAUUGAAUAAUUGAUAUAUUCAAUUAUUUAAAAUAAAAAAAUAUGUGUCACUUUAGUGUAGAGAUAAAAAUAUAUAUCUUAACUAAGUAAAAGAUUUUCUAAAAUCAAUUCAAUAUUAACAUACGACUUUUUAUAUUAAAUGUAUUAUUUUUAUCUGUUUAUUUUUAUCAUUAAUGCUAACAAAUAACUCAAAAUCAAUUCAAAUACUUCAUUUAAUAAAUAAAUGAUUGCACAAAUCAUUUUUCUCUCAACCAUUUAUAAUCCUGGCUGAUUUUUAUUUCCUCCCCAAAAGCUGGAAUAGUUACUUCAUGUGGAUGAACAAUCUUCUUUCUACAGUUAAUAAUCAACCAGUCAUUAUUGUUGAAAAAUAAAAGAGAAAGCAAGCAAAUGAUAGAGGCCAUGUUUAAGCAUGAGGAUUGCAUGGAGACAGAUAAUAGUAGCUAACCAGUGGCUGUCAAAUUGAAAUAAAGAAGCAAUUUUCAGGGCCCUUGAUUAAGCAUGAGAUUUGAUUGGAAAAAGAUGGUAUAUGGCUGAUUGGUUUUUCAAGCACAAGGUGAAAAACUUUAUCAUUUUUGAAACUAAUUCACAGGCUGAAAGUUUAAGUGCAAGUAACCAUCAUUCUACUUGCAAACUUUCAACAUGCUCAUGAUGAGUGUAUCCAUUAUUGUUUAUUUUAUGAAUUCACUUAAUGACAAAAAAAAUCCAAACAUUUCUUUUACUGGUGUGAACUUUUGGCUUUUUAUUGGGUAAAAAUGGUGCCAUUUAGUCAAUUGAGUGCAAGUUUUAGACAAUUUAUUAACUUAAGUCAUAAUUAAGUUGAUCUAGUGGCUAUUCUUUUGAUAAAUUUAUUAAUUUGGAUUUGAUCUAUAGUAGUUAAGUUAAUAAAAUAUAUAGAUAAAAUUUUAAAUAAUAAUUUUAAAGUUUAUAUAAAAGCCACAUACACCCAACAUAAUUUUGUGUCAAACUGGUCAAAAUUAGGCUAUAUUUCAAAAAAAUAAAAAGACCCAAAAUUACUCCAAUUCAAAAAUAUUUAGAUUUUCAGUCUCAUUUGGCCUUGUGAAAUUGUGCAUUGAUUAAUCUGUUAUUUUGAGUUCAACAAUAUAAGUUUCAAAAUUUUAGUCUUCGUCUUGGUAGGAUAAAAAAAAAAAAAAUGGUGAGUUAAAUUAAAAAAAUGAAAGACUACGAGCGUUCAGAAAAACUAUCUACCAAUAAGUAAUUCAGAUAUAUAAAAAGUAAUUAAUAUCUCGAUUUCGAAUUAUAUUUAAUAUUUUAACAGAUUUUAGAACGCUGUAAUUCGUUUCAUUUCAACUGUUAAUGUAACAUAUUUGGCCUCAAAUUUGCUAUAAUAUGCAGGCGUAACACCAUGUCCGCAUCCCACAUCGUCAAAACGCAGCUCAAAUUUUAUCUUUUUUAUACAAAUGAAAAUACAGAAGAAUCGCCGGGCUUAGUAACGUGGGCUUGUAACUCGAGUGAGGGCUUUGAGGUGAUGGGAUGUUGGGUCUAACCAAUGAGUCGGGGCCAAUGGCGAACUGCUGGCUUGCCCGCUCCAAGUGGAGAGUUGAGCUUUGUGGUUCUGGCAAAGGUUGGGACUACUCUGCUCUUAGAGUGGAGGGUACUGCGUGAGGCUGGUUUCACAGAGCAGCGUUCACCUCCCGCUCUUGACAGUGGAUGGAUCACAGGCUCGUGCCACUUGAUCCCAGCUUGGCUCCAUUGGUUGACCUCAAUUAGACCAUCACUUUUUUUUU
rnacentral:lncRNA from 1 species